UAAUUUUUUGGUACCGGAUCCCAGACUGGAUCGUGGCUGUGACGCCCGGAUAAUUAGGCUACAGUGAAACUCUGCUAAUGAUGCCACGUCACCUCGAUUACUGUUGCUAAUCUCGCGUUAGUCCGAGAACGGUUCGAAUUCAAAUUCAAAAUCAAGCAAACAAUAAAAGUUUUUUUUAUAUUAAAACUAAAAUGUUUGGAGUGAGCCAAAUAAUUCAUAAGUAAGUAUGGUGGAGAAACCACACUUUUAUAAAAGUGUAAAAUACCCUAAAAUGUUUUAAACAGUAGCAACAACAAUUAGUUGAAUGCCUUUUACAAUAAAUAAAAUAUUAAACUAUUUUAUUUUGUUGCCCAAACUUAUGUGGCAGUAGCUAAUUACUAAUGCUAAAUUAGGGACUACUUUUAUAGUUUAUAAAGCUAAAAUAAAUGAAGAGCUAAAAUAAAAUAGAAAACAAAAAAGGAAUAAUAAACAAAAUAGAAAAACAAACUAACAAAAAAGAAAAGAAAAGGAAACCCCCCAAACCCCCGGGCCAACCGACCCAGCUAGCCAACCGGCCGGCCCAUUCGGCCAGCCCACCCCGGCCGGCCCACCUCUCCCCGCAUAACCCCCCACCACCCCGCAAACCCUAACCCAUUCCACGAUCCCCACUCGCCCCACCCCGUGCGCCCCCUCGCUCCCCCGCGAUCUGGAUCGGGGGAAACGACGCCCCGACACCGCCGCCUCAUCCCUACACCCAUCGCCGGCCGGCGCCGCCCGUCUUCGCCGGCGCCUCCUCGUUGCCUCCCCACACCGUCCCCUCAACCCUCCACCCCCGAUCCAGAUCGGAUCGGGCUCGCACGCGCGUUGCCGCCUGUACCGCGCCGGCGACUGGAGCUUCCUCGCCGGCCUGCUUCGCCGCCUCCCCACCGGACUGCCGCCUCACCGUCCUCCUCCUCGUCCCCUCCUCGCCGGACCACCCCACGCACGCUGCCUGGACCCUACGCGCCCCGUGAGCACCUCUCCUCCUCCUCCCCUGGAUUCCCGCUUGCCGACCGCGGCCAUAACCGUCGUGCGCACGCGCGCUCGCACUCCCGCGGCCACUCACCACGCCCCCUGCUAUCGGUGCGCCCCGGCUCCCCUACUAGUGCUCCUCUGCCGCCCACACGCCCGCUCUUCGCCGGACCGCACUCCGUCUUCCCCCACGUCGGCCGGCCACCACGACCGCCUUGGCCACUGGCUCGGUUCCGCCGCACUCCCUGUGGGCGAGCGCUCCCCCAGGAGCCCGUCUCCCGCGCGCGUCCACCGCUGGGUCCGCGCCCGCUCGGUCGCUAGGGCCGCCCCCCUGCUCCCCUCGCCCCACGCCGGCACCGCCGCCCUGCUGCCGCUUGUGCGGUGGCCGCCGGCAACCUCGCCCCACACUGGGCGGGAUGCGCCCCUGCGCCCAUCCCUGGCCGGCGACGUGCCCCGCCGUGGCCGCCCGUGUCCACGCCCGCGUGCCCCUGGGCGUGCACCCGAACGGGGCACCCCCGUAACCCGUCGCCCGCGCCCUGUUUGGCCUCUGGGCCAAUGACAAACGGGGCCCAGGCCCUAGAACAAAAAAAAAGAAAGGAUUUAAAAUAAUAAUAAUAAUAAUAAUAAAUAAAAUAAUUAAAAUAUUAAUUAGUUAAUUAAUCAAAGAAUUAAUUAACUUAAUUAAUCCUGAUUAGAUUAACCUAAUCACCUAGUUUAGUUAAUUAACCCGUUAGGCUAAUUAACAGUCAAUGACAUGCGGGACCCACACGUCAGGUUGACCCAGUCAACUCUGUUGACUGCUGACGUCAGCAUGACAUCAUGCUGAUGUCAUAAUUCCAUUUUUCGAAUUAAAUAAUUAAUUGAUUAAAUUCCAAAUUAAUAAAAUCUUUAAAAAAAUCAUAUCUUUUAAUCGGUAACUCGGAUUAAAAUAUUUUCAACAUGAAAGUUGCUCAGAACGACGGGACGAAUUCGGAUACGCAGUCCGUUCGUCCGCCACACCCCCCUAACCUAUCGAACCCGCAACUUUCCCCUCCGUCUCCUCUGCCCGAAAACACGAAACACCGGGAAUACUUUCCCGGAUGAUUCCCCCUUAACCAGUACCACCUCAUACCCCGUUAAGGCACGCCUAGCAUCGCUUCUUGACAUGUCAUGCAUCGAUAUGCAUCUGUUUACUUGGUAUUCAUUGUUCUUCCCCCUCUUCUCUCCGGUAGACUACGAGACCGACGCUGCUGCUGCCCAGUUCGACUGUGGAGUUGACGACCCCUCUCUCUUGCCAGAGCAACCAGGCAAGCCCCCCCCUUGAUCACCAGAUAUCGCCUAUUCUCCUCUAUACUGCUUGCAUUAGAGUAGUGUAGCAUGUUACUGCUUUCGUAAAUCCUAUUCUGAUGCAUAGCCUGACAUUGUCGCUACAUCUGUUGAUACCUUACCUGCAAUCCUAAAUGCUUAGUAUAGGAUGCUAGUUUAUCAUCAUUGGCCCUACAUUCUUGUCAGUCUGCCUUGCUAUACUAUCGGGCCGUGAUCACUUGGGAGGUGAUCACGGGUAUAUACUAUACAUACAUACAUACUAUACAGAUGGUGACUAAAGUCGGGUCAGCUCAUUGAGUACCCGCAAGUGAUUCUGACGAGGGGGCUGAAAGGACAGGUGGCUCCAUCCCGGUAGAGGUGGGCCUGGGUUCCCGACGGCCCUCGACUGUUACUUUGUGGCGGAGCGACAGGGCAGGUUGAGACCACCUAGGAGACAGGUGGGCCUGGCCCUGUUCGGCGUUCGCGGAUACUUAACACGCUUAACGAGAUCUUGGUAUUUGAUCUGAGUCUGGCUACGAGCCUAUACGCACUAACCAUCUACGUGGGAGUAGUUAUGGGUAUCCCGACGUCGUGGUAUCAGCCGAAGCACUUCAGACGUCAGCGACGGAGCGGCGCGCGCCGAAUUGGACUGGAACGCCACUAGGCUAGGUCUGCUUUCGGCCGCGUACGCAACGUGCAGGUGUGCUAUGGGCGAUGGGCCCAGACCCCUGUGCGCUUAGGUUUAGACCGGCGUGUUGGCCUCUCUGUUGAGCCUAGGUGGGGCUGCGACGUGUUGAUCUUCCGAGGCCGGGCAUGACCCAGGAAAGUGUGUCCGGCCAAAUGUGAUCGAGUGUGUUGGGUUAUGUGGUGCACCCCUGCAGGGAAGUUAAUCUAUUCGAAUAGCCGUGAUCUUCGGUAACAGGACGACUUGGAGUUGUACCUUGACCUUAUGACAACUAGAACCGGAUACUUAAUAAAACACACCCUUCCAAGUGCCAGAUACAACCGGUGGUCGCUCUACCUCAGGGAUAUGAGGAGGGGAUCGCCGGGUAGGAUUAUGCUAUGAGAUGCUAUUUGGAGAUGCUACUUGGAGGACUUCAAUCUACUCUCUACUACAUGCUGCAAGACGGAGGCUGCCAGAAGCGUAGUCUUCGACAGGAUUAGCUAUCCCCCUCUUAUUCUGGCAUUCUGCAGUUCAGUCCACCGAUAUGGCCUCCUUACACAUAUACCCAUGCAUAUGUAGUGUAGUUCCUUGCUUGCGAGUACUUUGGAUGAGUACUCACGGUUGCUUUCUCCCCCCUUUUUCCCCUUUCCUUUCUUUCUGGUUGUCGCAACCAGAUGCUGGAGCCCUGGAGCCAGACGCCAUAGUCGACGAUGAUUCCUACUACACUGGAGGUGCCUACUACUACGUGCAGCCCGCUGACGACGACCAGGAGUAGUUAGGAGGAUCCCAGGCAGGAGGCCUGCGCCUCUUUCGAUCUGUAUCCCAGUUUGUGCUAGCCUUCUUAAGGCAAACUUGUUUAACUUAUGUCUGUACUCAGAUAUUGUUGCUUCCGCUGACUCGUCUAUGAUCGAGCACUUGUAUUCGAGCCCUCGAGGCCCCUGGCUUGUAUUAUGAUGCUUGUAUGACUUAUUUAUGUUUUUAGAGUUGUGUUGUGAUAUCUUCCCAUGAGUCCCUGAUCUUGAUCGUACACAUUUGCGUGCAUGAUUAGUGUACGAUUAAACCGGGGGCGUCACAAGUUGGUAUCAGAGCCGACUGCCUGUAGGAAUCCCCCUUUCCAACUCCUUGGCCGAAGUCGAGUCUAGUUGUUGAAAAACUUUUACUAACAUGGCUGUGUGGCCCAUGGGCCCACGUCGCCAUCGAGAGGUAUUAGGAUCUUUUAUUCCUCGACCUUUACUCUGGGAUUCUGAACCCUCUUCUAUUCGGGUUAAACGAUUUUUACUAAAAACUAACUUUAGGUUCUCGAAAAUACUUUCUCCCGGAGAGCCCCUUCAGUCCAGAUGGUCACCGACUGCACCAGAAGAUUUCGGAGAUACUCUUUGAUAUUCUCUCGAGACUUUGUGCCCAUCACUUUUGCUAUUCCCGACCACCGAUAAAUCCUUAUGGAUAACUACUUACACUUGCCAUUCUUACGAUCAUUCCCCAUUGUUCUUGUUAUUACAAGAUACCCGAAGUUUUCUCUAUUGUUCCGAGAAUACUUCGUGCCUACUGCCUAGCAGUUCUUUGCCACAUGAAUACCCCUUCAAAUAAAUCCCCGCACUUGUCAAGUAUCCGCUCAUCCCCAGUUGUUCAUGAGUUUCACAAAAGUCUUCAAAAUACUAUUCGAUCUUCCGAAAAUCCUCUGGAGCCUUUGGCUCUUGAAAUUCUUGCUUGCUCGCAUUAUGGUUAAUCCCAUAAGUCUCGUAGUCUUAAUGACAUUCCUUGUCAUUAUCAUUUUGAGUCUGUUGACUCAAUAUGUUUGCGAAUGCACGCAAUCAUCAUUGAUCCUUAUAAAUUACUUCUCCGGCUAAGCUGCCAUUCUUUUAACUGGAAUUGGUUCUCGACCAAUCCAAUUGUCGUUGAUUGUACCCUAAGGCUAUUCAACUUAUCCAUCCCUACUCGGAGCAUUGCUUCUAAUCCCUUGAUUUGGAAAUCAUAAUUCCUUUGCAUUUGACAAUUGAGUUAGUCUGUUGUUUCUAUAAUCUGAUCUCCUUGCAAUCUUCUUCCUCUAGUUGAGUACCGAUGCUCACGUCAGAUCCCUUGUGGACCACCAGAUCCUUUGUUGGAUUUUAUCUGAGAAUGCCCUUCAUAUUCAAUAACCUUGUGAGCCUUUCCUCUGAUACAUAAUGCCUUUGGUAAAUUGUAUCCUCUGCUUUCUUAACCAUGCUCUGUCUUCGAGCUUGAGUUAAUUACUUCUAAAGAUUCUGGUAUAUGAUUCUAAGAUGCCCCGAUGGGUUGAACCUAUGCCUUCCUUAAUAGGUGUGAACUCGAAAGUUUUCACGAGUCAUACUCUUCUGGUAUUUUGCCAGAUAAAAUUUCAAAACUACAACUUCAUUGAGCGCGAGAAGUGAAUGAAAGGUUGUGCAUUGGAGAAGUGGGAGUCGACCUUGAACUUUGUGUUCAUGCCCAUGGACACGAUGUACAUCUUCUCAUCGAAGCUUCUUUUAAAAUCAAUUAUUCCCUUGGUAUAAGUUCAUCUUAUAUCUGAGAUCUGGCCUUUUUGCAAUCGUGGUUCUGACCAUGUUCUCCUUUAAAUAUCAUGUCCUGUGCAAGUUUAAGCACUUGUCUUCUAUAGAGCAAUACCCCAGUUCAACUUCUAGUUUGAUCUGUCGUCGAGUAUUACCACCUGGUAUCUCGAGAUUAUCUUGGAACUGCAUAAUUUCUUAUGAGUUCUUCAUCAAGUACUACAUACUCACCGAUUACAAUUUUUCAUGGGCUCGGAGUUAUUGAACACUCAAAGACACCAAUAACUGAACCAAGUCCGCACUACGGUUCAACAACUCUUCAGUAAGCUUCUAUAAGUACGAGUUUGAACCCGAUCACGCCAUUCCUAGCCUGUUUGGCUAUAUCAUUGACGUGAUGAUUCUAACCGUGCUACCUGGUCCUUGAUUCUCGGAGCACCAAUUUGCGACGAUAGCUAAGCUUACGUCGAUUUUCCUCGCCAUACCCUUUCACCUUAAACAACAAGCUUGAGUUCGAGUUUGUGUCAUACCCAUGGUUCCAAUGACUUUUGGCUUCAUCAUUCCUUUGACUUGAUGUCGUCGCUGAUUGAUUACUUCUUCAUGAAAUCUGUCGACAAAUGUGUCGUGAUCCUCAUCAACCUUAUGAGUUCUUCCAGGAUAUCAAUUGAAUUCAUGAUGGGUAAUACCAUCCUUGCCCCUCGAUGAUUCCUGUUCUCAUCAACCACUUUAUUGCAUUCCCUCCAACACAAAACUUCUUCUUGUUUUGUGUUGUACCUUGAGUUCCAUGCUAUCCAACUUAUGUUAUGAUCUACCGCGGAGUAUUACCAUCUUUGAUGUCAAGAAUGUUGUAAGGAUUGCUCCACCUCUUAAGAAUUCUUGGUAUAGUGAUACUUCUCCCCAUCAUCAUUCUUUCUUGGUCCUCGAGUUGAUUCCAAACGGGGUACCAACAAGUGGACAGUGCUGUUUGGAUUCUGCCCUUCUAGCAACCCUAUUGCUUUGAAGUUAAUGGUCGGCCGUUCAUUCUUAUACUAUUGAUUAUUGAAUCACCAUUCUGACAUUGGUCGUGCAACCCGGCCCAUAUUUCGGGUGCACCUUUCAACCAAUGUUUAAUUGUGUAUGUUUUCCUCGAGCAUACAUCAUUAUACCAUUUGAUCUGACAAAUGUUAUCUCCUUGUUCACAUAAUUGUGGGAAUCCAUCUUUUGUUAAUCUUGAUGAAUUGCCGCUGAUUCCAUCAGCCACCUCCUCAUCCUCUCGUUGGUUUACUGAUGAACUCUUGUUUCGGAACUCGCUUCCAUAGUUCAUUUCUCGAGAACUUUACAAUGUCAUCUCGUCAAUUUGUAUUACACCUUUUUCUCUCAGGCAUCCUGAGUCUGAGGUAUUUUGACACCAAUUGGAUCUGAAUCUCGGUCAAAUAUGAUGGUUGGGACAACUUUCCAAGAGUUAUGAUAUUGAUCCUUUGAUGACCCGGUAACAUGAUGUCAUGCCUAGCACCCCCCCCCCGGCUGGAGGACCUAUCAUUACAGAUUCCUUUUCAGCAAGGUUAUCCAUUCAUCCAUGAGGAAAUUGUAAGACUUAUUCUACAAGCUAUUCCUGAUGGAUCCUUCGUGUUUUCAAAGUCUGAUCUUCACCUGAAGACCUUGUCAAUGCUAUCUCUAAGCAUGUCAAUGGUACUCCGAUUUUCAACAGAAACAUUUGAAGCACGAUGCUAAAUUUUAUUUAUCAUUUAUCCUAACACCGUGGUAUGGGUAAUAUCAUGAGAUUCCUCCCCCCUUACCUAAAUGGUUUUCUACUUUAUAUCCUGCCAUGGAUAUCUUGCUCUGCUUGUCCUUGGGAAGGAUAUACCCUUGAAAUAUGUGUUUAAACAUAUUUUCCUUUCCAUUGUUCUGUUUAAUCUGAUGAUCAUAUUUUCCUUCCAUUGGUUUGUUUAAACCUUUUCUAUGAUCUAUAUGAUAUAAGCAGUAAUAAUCCACUGCUUGUGCAAACACCUCGAUGUACAACUCUGUCGGUAAGACCUUGUUACUAUUGUUGAUGACAUUCCGGUAACCACCGAUGGACGGGAACUUUGCCUAUUGGUCCGCCUCGUUCAACGAGCAGGAAAAUGGUUCUCUUCGUCCCUCGCCCUUGGUACCGACAUUGUUGACAACAAAAUCGACAGGCUAUCCUCUGACAUACCUUGUUAUCUUGACCGUGCAAAUAUAUUAGCGCCUUCCUGCUUUUAACCCACAUGGUGGGCCCAUAACCCACAGUUCCGCAGGAUCGAAACCUGACUCUCCUGUACACCCUGUUGUCAGAGUUAUUCCUCGUGCUUGACUUUGUAUGUAAUUCACGGGCCACUUGCCUGUUGAUCGAUUCUGGUAUCGGACACAAUACUUAUUCUCGUUGCUCUGAACCCCUUUCGCACUCUGCUUCAAGCAAUGAACGAUUGCCUAUCCGCUUGAAACCUCUUAUUACACCGUCUUACUUUGCUGUCGAUGUGUGUCAUUUGUUCAACUCGAGAGCUACUCAUAUGUUUAUUCCGGGGAUACCCCCAGAUGAAUUUCCCUUAUAACAUCCUAUCAUUGUAGAGCUGCCCCCUACCUAUUUGUAAGUACGAUGGAGCUCCCCGAAGAAAGGACGACAACUUCAUCAUGAUGCUUUGGGAUAAAGAAUUGAAGGCAUCAACGAAAGGGAUUAACUUCUUCAAGAAGAUCCAUUAGAAUAACCAGAACCCCCCCUUACUCCACCGCUUAAAUCUCGGGACGAGAUUUCUUGUAGUGGAGGAGAAUUGUGACGCCCGGAUAAUUAGGCUACAGUGAAACUCUGCUAAUGAUGCCACGUCACCUCGAUUACUGUUGCUAAUCUCGCGUUAGUCCGAGAACGGUUCGAAUUCAAAUUCAAAAUCAAGCAAACAAUAAAAGUUUUUUUUAUAUUAAAACUAAAAUGUUUGGAGUGAGCCAAAUAAUUCAUAUGUAAGUAUGGUGGAGAAACCACACUUUUAUAAAAGUGUAAAAUACCCUAAAAUGUUUUAAACAGUAGCAACAACAAUUAGUUGAAUGCCUUUUACAAUAAAUAAAAUAUUAAACUAUUUUAUUUUGUUGCCCAAACUUAUGUGGCAGUAGCUAAUUACUAACGCUAAAUAGGGACUACUUUUAUAGUUUAUAAAGCUAAAAUAAAUGAAGAGCUAAAAUAAAAUAGAAAACAGAAAAGGAAUAAUAAACAAAAUAGAAGAAAAGAAAUAAAAUAGAAAAACAAACUAACAAAAAAGAAAAGAAAAGGAAACCCCCCAAACCCCCGGGCCAACCGACCCAGCUAGCCAACCGGCCGGCCCAUUCGGCCAGCCCACCCCGGCCGGCCCACCUCUCCCCGCAUAACCCCCCACCACCCCGCAAACCCUAACCCAUUCCACGAUCCCCACUCGCCCCACCCCGUGUGCCCCCUCGCUCCCCCCCGAUCUGGAUCGGGGGAAACGACGCCCCGACACCGCCGCCUCAUCCCUACACCCAUCGCCGGCCGGCGCCGCCCGUCUCCGCCGGCGCCUCCUCGUUGCCUCCCCACACCGUCCCCUCAACCCUCCACCCCCUAUCCAGAUCGGAUCGGGCUCGCACGCGCGUUGCCGCCUGUACCGCGCCGACGACUGGAGCUUCCUCGCCGGCCUGCUUCGCCGCCUCCCCACCGGACUGCCGCCUCACCAUCCUCCUCCUCGUCCCCUCCUCGUCGGACCACCCCACGCACGCUGCCUGGACCCUACGCGCCCCGUGAGCACCUCUCCUCCUCCUCCCCUGGAUUCCCGCUCGCCGACCGCGGCCAUAACCGUCGUGCGCACGCGCGCUCGCACUCCCGCGGCCACUCACCACGCCCCCCUGCUACUGGUGCGCCCCGGCUCCCCUACUAGUGCUCCUCUGCCGCCCACACGCCCGCUCUUCGCCGGACCGCACUCCGUCUUCCCCCACGUCAGCCGGCCACCACGGCCGCCUUGGCCACUGGCUUGGUUCCGCCGCACUCCCUGUGGGCGAGCGCUCCCCCAGGAGCCCGUCUCCCGCGCGCGUCCACCGCUGGGGCCGCGCCCGCUCGGUCGCUAGGGCCGCCCCCCUGCUCCCCUCNNNNNNNNNNNNNNNNNNNNNNNNNNNNNNNNNNNNNNNNNNNNNNNNNNNNNNNNNNNNNNNNNNNNNNNNNNNNNNNNNNNNNNNNNNGGCACCGCCGCCCUGCUGCCGCUUGUGCGGUGGCCGCCGGCAACCUCGCCCCACACUGGGCGGGAUGCGCCCCUGCGCCCAUCCCUGGCCGGCGACGUGCCCCGCCGUGGCCGCCCGUGUCCACGCCCGCGUGCCCCUGGGCGUGCACCCGAACGGGGCACCCCCGUAACCCGUCGCCCGCGCCCUGUUUGGCCUCUGGGCCAAUGACAAACGGGGCCCAGGCCCUAGAACAAAAAAAAGAAAGGAUUUAAAAUAAUAAUAAUAAUAAUAAUAAUAAUAAUAAAAUAAUUAAUUAGUUAAUUAAUCAAAGAAUUAAUUAACUUAAUUAAUCCUGAUUAGAUUAACCUAAUCACCUAGUUUAGUUAAUUAACCCGUUAGGCUAAUUAAGAGUCAAUGACAUGCGGGACCCACACGUCAGGUUGACCCAGUCAACUCUGUUGACUGCUGACGUCAUCAUGACAUCAUGCUGAUGUCAUAAUUCCAUUUUUCGAAUUAAAUAAUUAAUUGAUUAAAUUCCAAAUUAAUAAAAUCUUUAAAAAAAUCAUUUCUUUUAAUCCGUAACUCGGAUUAAAAUAUUUUCAACAUGAAAGUUGCUCGAGAGCGACGGGACGAAUUCGGAUACGCAGUCCGUUCGUCCGCCACACCCCCCUAACCUAUCGAACCCGCAACUUUCCCCUCCGGCUCCUCUGCCCGAAAACACGAAACACCGGGAAUACUUUCUCGGAUGAUUCCCCCUUAACCAGUACCACCUCAUACCCCGUUAAGGCACGCCUAGCAUCGCUUCUUGACAUGUCAUGCAUCGAUAUGCAUCUGUUUACUUGGUAUUCAUUGUUCUCCCCCCUCUUCUCUCCGGUAGACUACGAGACCGACGCUGCUGCUGCCCAGUUCGACUACGGAGUUGACGACCCCUCUCUCUUGCCAGAGCAACCAGGCAAGCCCCCCCCCCUUGAUCACCAGAUAUCGCCUAUUCUCCUCUAUACUGCUUGCAUUAGAGUAGUGUAGCAUGUUACUGCUUUCGUUAAUCCUAUUCUGAUGCAUAGCCUGACAUUGUCGCUACAUCUGUUGAUACCUUACCUGCAAUCCUAAAUGCUUAGUAUAGGAUGCUAGUUUAUCAUCAUUGGCCCUACAUUCUUGUCAGUCUGCCUUGCUAUACUAUCGGGCUGUGAUCACUUGGGAGGUGAUCACGGGUAUAUACUAUACAUACAUACAUACUAUACAGAUGGUGACUAAAGUCGGGUCAGCUCAUUGAGUACCCGCAAGUGAUUCUGACGAGGGGGCUGAAAGGACAGGUGGCUCCAUCCCGGUAGAGGUGGGCCUGGGUUCCCGACGGCCCUCGACUGUUACUUUGUGGUGGAGCGACAGGGCAGGUUGAGACCACCUAGGAGACAGGUGGGCCUGGCCCUGUUCGGCGUUCGCGGAUACUUAACACGCUUAACGAGAUCUUGGUAUUUGAUCUGAGUCUGGCUACGAGCCUAUACGCACUAACCAUCUACGUGGGAGUAGUUAUGGGUAUCCCGACGUCGUGGUAUCAGCCGAAGCACUUCAGACGUCAGCGACGGAGCGGCGCGCGCCGAAUUGGACUGGAACGCCACUAGGCUAGGUCUGCUUUCGGUCGCGUACGCAACGUGCAGGUGUGCUAUGGGCGAUGGGCCCAGACCCCUGUGCACUUAGGUUUAGACCGGCGUGCUGGCCUCUCUGUUGAGCCUAGGUGGGGCUGCGACGUGUUGAUCUUCCGAGGCCGGGCAUGACCCAGGAAAGUGUGUCCGGCCAAAUGGGAUCGAGCGUGUUGGGUUAUGUGGUGCACCCCUGCAGGGAAGUUAAUCUAUUCGAAUAGCCGUGAUCUUCGGUAACAGGACGACUUGGAGUUGUACCUUGACCUUAUGACAACUAGAACCGGAUACUUAAUAAAACACACCCUUCCAAGUGCCAGAUACAACCGGUGGUCGCUCUACCUCAGGGAUAUGAGGAGGGGAUCGCCGGGUAGGAUUAUGCUAUGAGAUGCUAUUUGGAGAUGCUACUUGGAGGACUUCAAUCUACUCUCUACUACAUGCUGCAAGACGGAGGCUGCCAGAAGCGUAGUCUUCGACAGGAUUAGCUAUCCCCCUCUUAUUCUGGCAUUCUGCAGUUCAGUCCACCGAUAUGGCCUCCUUACACAUAUACCCAUGCAUAUGUAGUGUAGUUCCUUGCUUGCGAGUACUUUGGAUGAGUACUCACGGUUGCUUUCUCCCCCCUUUUUCCCCUUUCCUUUCUUUCUGGUUGUCGCAACCAGAUGCUGGAGCCCUGGAGCCAGACGCCACAGUCGACGAUGAUUCCUACUACACUGGAGGUGCCUACUACUACGUGCAGCCCGCUGACGACGACCAGGAGUAGUUAGGAGGAUCCCAGGCAGGAGGCCUGCGCCUCUUUCGAUCUGUAUCCCAGUUUGUGCUAGCCUUCUUAAGGCAAACUUGUUUAACUUAUGUCUGUACUCAGAUAUUGUUGCUUCCGCUGACUCGUCUAUGAUCGAGCACUUGUAUUCGAGCCCUCGAGGCCCCUGGCUUGUAUUAUGAUGCUUGUAUGACUUAUUUAUGUUUUUAGAGUUGUGUUGUGAUAUCUUCCCGUGAGUCCCUGAUCUUGAUCGUACACAUUUGCGUGCAUGAUUAGUGUACGAUUAAAUCGGGGGCGUCAAAGUGGCCAUGACGGUGGUCAAGGUGUCUGGAGGUAGACACGGGGCCACCCAGGACUAGCCCGAUGGGGUCUGAGUCGGAAUGGCCGGGAGAGUGUCAUGACAAUGGAAUGGUUUCGUCGGAACACUGAUGGUCCACCCGAAUGGGAGUGCGAGGCCAUGGGUUCCGUAGUGUGGGUACAGUGUACUAACCUCUGCAGAGUGUUUUUAAUCUAUCGAUAGCCGAGUCCACGGUUAAGGACACACUCGAUAGUAGGGUACACCAUGGGUCAACACUUAAUAAAAUAUGCACACUAAAUUUGUACUGAGGAUGGCAGUGAGGCCAUCGUGUUGAGUUUGGCCAUGAGUUGGUCGGGUUUGUGAUCGCCGUAAGGAUCACGGGCCAAGAGUUGGUCGGGUUCUAAUCGCCGUAAGGAUCAUUGGCCAUGAAUUGGUCGGGUGCUGAUCGCCGAAAGGAUCACACGUGUGUUUUCGAAGUUAUCAUGUUUGUGGUAUGGAAAUGAUCACGUUCGGUAAGAAGUACCAGUUGAGCAUAGUCACAACAUAUUAGACGUAUGGUUGCAUUGUUGCUUAAAUGGUUAAAUAUCCUGAUAUUGUUUGCCAUUAUGUUUAUGCUUAUUGUGAGCUUGCAAGUAUAUUCAAUGUACUGACCUGGCGUGUCAUGCCACUUUGCAGGUCAUGCCGGAUUUGAUUACUUGCUUGUCGUGGUUUCCGUUCGUGCGAGCUAGGAUAAGCGUUCCAGCCAGAGUCCCUGCGGAGUGGAGUUCACCACCGUCGCCGUUGUUCCGCUACUAGAGUUAUUCCGCUGCUUUGAGUUGUUCUGCUGCUUUCAUAGAUCAACUGAGGAUGGCGUAGUGCCGACGUACCGAUGUUAUUAAUUGUAAUAUCGGAGACCUUGUAUUCAUAUUCGUGUAAUAAUAAUAGAAAGCUGGUUUGUUCUAUGCUAAGCAGUGCUGUAUUCCAGAAGACUUCUCCUUGAUCAUUGGGCUGGAAUACGGGGCGUUCCGAUUUCCUCUGAGCCGGGGUGCUACAGGCUUGGUAUCAGAGCAGGUCUGGCUGUAGGACGCCCUAGACCGCGCAAACAUUAGAAAGCGAUAGUAUAGACCCCAGUUGGUUUGUUGCACUUGAUUGCUGCAUUUGUUUGUUGCAUAGCAUGCAUAUAGCCUUAGUAUUUGUGAUAACGGUUUAUCUGGUGAGUGUAGCUGGCAUCGAUUCAGAUCCACUACAGCUGAAGCUUUGCAUUUCUCUAGUUCCUUUUUCUUUCGGUGUUUGGUGUCGUUUCUGUCCCAGCAGAGUGAUGCCAAGUGAUCCCGACACUGUUUGCAAAAAUGGUGCUCAGGUAUCGCAUUGAUGUCUUUCUUUUAGUCCUAUCUAUCGUUUUGGUGAUGGACAUGUUUCUAUCCCGGAUCGUUCUUUUUGUCGUGUUGGCAACCCUUAAUGAUCUUAGUUAUCAAGAAAGGGUAAUGCCAGCAGCCUCAGUUUUUCCCCGCUAUCCUAUUUCUUGGACAGUAUAGAUCUUUUUCUGUCCGCUUGAUAAUAAAGUAGUUGCGACCUUCGUGUCCAACUGCAUGAUUACCGAGUACGUCCUCGCCUCUAAGCUAGUUCAAGUUGCUACCUGGCUAAGCUAGCACAUGGUGUAGCGCUGUUUACACCAAUUCUUCCACACAUUUAUUCGUCCUCGUGCACAUCGCCACAUCAUAUUAGACAGCAAUACCGGAGUUUCUGCGAAAUUUGUGUGCUCAGGUGUGCAUGCAUAUUAUUGUGUGAGUAGCAGUAAUAUGUGAUGCUUGCUUGAUUAAUUAUAUUAGUAGAAUGCUUGUGUGCUUUUGUUUUAGUCGUUUCUUUUGUUCCUUUCUUUGGGCCUUCAGUGUUACAAAUUUCCCCCCUAUUAAAGUUGCUCGUCAACCGACACUGGACCCGAAGAGUCAGCAAGAAAUGCAUAUAUUUGGAAACUCAGCUAAACAGAAUGGAAUUAUCAGCUGACUGAAGUGAAAUUGGGAAUAUCUUGUCUGGAUGCAAAAGAAAUCCUGGAUGGACCGUCAGUAUCAAGUUUGCAUUAGCAUGCACUCAUCACAACAAAAUGAUUAAAUCAGCAAGAAGAUAAAUUGUGUGCAAGGUUGACAAAAUAUUAUCAAAGGUAUGGCUCAGAGACAAGUUUAAUUUUUAUUGAGGAUGAUUUUGGAACCCGAUGUACCUGGAAGCAAGCAAAAAUAUGGCAUAUACUCAGAAAGGAGGAUAGUCUAGUAAAACAAUGUUUCAUACCAGAAAUCAACAUCAGAAAUAUUAAGAUGGUAUGUAUAUGUGGAAAUCGGUCCGCAUAUCACAGUAAGAAGUUUCUGGUAUAAGCAACCCACUUUUCCCUCGCAACAUACCCGAGAGGCUUCCAAGGCAAGAUUCAUCUAUCUUCCUCAGUACGAUACAUGGACGACUUCUCGCGCAAGGUACUCUGCCUUCUUCAGUAAGCAACCGCGAAGACUUUCGGCAUAAGGUACCGAGUCUUUCCCCAGCAAUGUCUUUAAGGGGGUAAGCUUUUGAAGCAUGAUAUUCAGUCUUCUUCACCAAGCUGUCCGAUGAAAGUUUCGAGCACAAGCCAGCAAAUAUUCCUCAGUAAGACAUUGGUACAAGGUAGUACGCUGUGAGUUGACAGCAUGUGGCAGUGAAUCCCAAGAAUCAGAUCCGCAACAUUUUUGUCAGACUCAAGAAUCAGUCAGAAUACACGUCUGUCUUGGAAUAAGGUCCUCAUAUAUAUGCAAUGAGCAUACCAUCAAGAUCUUACAAGUCACUCGAAUGAGGAUCUGAUAACCACGUGAGGAUGGUUACGAGAAUAAAGCCAGUAUACACCGCAGUGUGACAAAGAAUUAUGAGGAUUGACGACAUCAAGGAGCUCAAUACAAGUACCUGUGAGCCUAGAAAAUGAUCCUGACGAGCCCUUGUCCCCUUUUUUCUCCUAUGACGGCACCACGCCUAUGAUCUGAGUUGUUUCUAGCUAUCCGGGGUCGAUGUCAAAUUUUGUUUCUCUCUUCAACAACUGUCACAAGUCUGAGCUGCUUUUCGGCCAUCUCGUAUAGCUGUUGAGUUUCUUUUUGAGACAGUAGCCCUAUAGCUGCUUUUUGGCUAUUUUAGGGAGCUGCCACCUUCUUCUUAUCGACCCGGUCUCAUGCUCUGAGCUGUUUUUCGGCCGUCCUAAGCCGUGGUUGAGUUAUUUCAGUAAUGUCCCAGAUCUGAGUUGUAAAGACCCUUCUGGUGGAUACUGAUUUAUUUGCUGAUUUCUUGCAAGGGUUUCGGAUGAUCAUUUUCCAACGAUCAGAACUUGAGAGGUGUUGAACCUGCCAUUUAAUGGGUUACCCUAUCAAAAAAAUGAGGAUAAACUACAAUUGCCGAAAAAUUGCACCGACAGUACCUAUGGUCAUACGAAGAAGCAAUAUGGCCCAACUUUUUCAGCCAAAGAUCUAGACCAAGAAAACAAUAAUGAAGGAGCAAGACCAGUGAUGCAGGUAUGAAAAUUGUACAUGACCCCCAUGGUGCAGAUUCCCCGGACAGUCUAAGUCUGUAUUGAUCCACAUGGAUAUGCCUACAUCAUGAGUAAUCGGCAUGAGGAAUAUCAGUCUGGAAGCCUGAAUCCUCACUUAUAUGAAUCUUCAUGGAUAGUCUGUCGUGAACAAAAAAAAAUCCGUCAGAACCACCGUCAGUCAAGUCUGCAGAUAUUAUCAUAUAGGACAAACCCUUUAUGCUGGCCGCGACAGGAGACAAUCAAAUAUUUGGUACGGAUCCGAUACUCAUGACAAUGGAACCUGUUAAGAUGAUUCAGAAACUUCUGCGAUGAGUCAGAAGCUGUCAGGAAACAGUUAUGUUUUAACUCACUGUUUGGAACCCAAAGGACCUACAUUUAGUAGAGAAACCCAAUGCAAUGAGUCAGAGCUUGAGUUUUCAUCAUAAAAUUCUGAUCAUCAUUACAUGAAAGGUUGUCAGUGCCGGGUGGCACACCCAGCGGAAAUCACUUUUGGAUUUGUGAGACUGACAUAUAUUUCACUCGUGAUAAUCAAAUCACACUCAGCUAGUCAACAGAUCUAAAAAUAAAUUGGAGCCUAUAUAAGCAUGAGCAAGCUAGGCAAGAUCUGUCAGAAGGUGGAUACAGUGAAUAAAACUACCCAGGGUCAGUCAGAUAAAAAUUUAGUGGGAACAACAAUAAAGGAAAAAGGAUACCCGAGUUGGAAACGGUUUCCUUAAGUCAGAAUAUUCACACUAGUUCCCUGAGCAACCAAAUCUCGAGGACGAGAUUUCUUUAAGGGGGUAAGGUUUGUGACAGCCUGAUUUUUGGCCCUUUCUUUUUCUUUUGUUUUUCUGAGGUUUUGCCUGAGUUUUCUUUUUCCGUGGCUUUGUGGUCUGGAAACUGAAGAAGAUGACCUCUUCUUUGCUUCCAGAGUGGCUUGUCAUUCCCAAAUUCUUCCCUAGACCAUGUCAUUUCCAUCCUAUACCAAAUCCCAAUAUUCUUUUUAUUGAGAAUAUUCCUUUUUCUAUUAAAGGAAUAACUCAAAUUUCCUUAGGUUGUGAAGCAACCUAUAUUUCCCUCACUCCAAAAAUUCCGAAAUAAUUCUCAUAAAUUAUUUGGAUCAUAUCUUGAGCAAAUAUGGCAAAACUUCUCAUUUGCCAUGUUUAUCAUCUUGCUCAAAUAAUCCUUUUCUAUUCUGUCCUGUGUGGCAGGUUGUGAAGGAAGUGUUAUUUUCCUUUGCCCAAUGGACCUCAACAUUUUUGGACGUCUUUUCAUGUUCAAAUAAUUGCCCUGUGCCAAAGCUCAACUUUAUUUACCUAGCCAAUCUUCCUCAGUGAUUUUUCAAAGUUCCUGUCUGAGGGAAUGCAUUGUGAAGGAAGUCCUAGCUAGGAGUAGCCAAAUGAGUUGAACUUUUACACACUCCUUUAUGUGCUCAUAUUAACCCCUUCCACCCAUUUGCAGCCCCAUCCAAUCAUCUAUGUGAGCACAGGAGCAAAUCUUUGAUUCUGGCAUUAUUUUCAGGUUGUGAAGCAAGUAUAUUUUAUAUUGCUUCAAAACUCAUGAUAAAUUAACAGAUCAUUCUUCUACCCUUAAAACUUCUCUCCACCCAAUUUGGCAUCAUUUCAUUAAGCCAUUACCUCUUUAGAAGUUUUCCAAGUUUCUUGUCAGCAGAAAUGUUUGUGAAGCAAGUAGCAUGUUGGCUUUGCCAAAUGGAAUGAUACUUGGGGUGCAUCAUCAUAUGACAAAAUGACUCAGCUUUGCCUAAUAUUAGCCCAAUUGAACACUCCAUGUCUCGCAUCUUGCUGAUCUUCAUUUCUGGACCAAAUAUGCAGUUGUGAAGCAGCUAUGAUUUAUCUUGGGCCAUUUCCCCUCAAAACCUCUAGGAUCAUAGUCCCUCCUUAGCUAAACACCCCAGACAUCUUAUUUGGCCCAUAGCAUAUCCCUGUUGACCACGUUGACCUGAUGAAGUUUACUGCAGUAAACUUCAGAGGGUGAUAACUAUUUAACCAGAGCAUGUUUAACCAAGUUACCACCACAGUUCAAACCUAUCUUGGACGAACUAUCAGCUAGACAAAGUUUUGGGUUCUGUAGAGCAUUGAAUGCCCAUGUUCACGUGGUCACCACACAGCUGGCAUGCCUGUUGGCGCGCUCUGUGCGAUGUGGCGUGUCCAGAGCACUGUUUGUGCUGGACCCCCUCCUCCUCUCGUCGUCUUAGAGCCCGUGAGAAUGUCCAUUGGCUUCCUCUCCUCGUCGUCAUUCCCCUGGACCCCUAUUACCCUCCGGAGGCUUCCUCACAGACGCAAACCGCCGAGUGCCCUCGUGCGUACAGUGAAGGUUUGGAUCCGUUCGUCGUCGUCGUCUUCCUCCCUGCGCCCCCUUGGCCUCCUCUGCCCCGUGAGAUCCCCCACUACCCCUCCUACGUCAUUUGCCCCCGAGAUCAUGCAUGCGAGCACGCGUCCGCGUUGCCGGACACGCAUCUGCGGCGGUGACAACACGACAGCUCCUCCCUGCGGCUAUAUAAGCCCUCCCCGCGCACCCCGAGCUCUCCUCUCGCCUCACCACUCUCCUAGGACCCCGCUCAUGCACUUCCCCGAGCACCAGAGCCCCUCUUCGCCUGUGUUGGCCGCCAUGGCCGCCGCCCCUGUCCACUCCGAUUCCGGUGAACUGAAGCCCCUCUCCUCUGUCUUCCACCUCUAGUAGGUCACCCAACCACCAUAGCCUCUCCCACAGCCCUCCGUUAGUCGCCGGAAUCGCCAUGGCCUCGUCCUCUAUCUUCGGCCGAAGCCCCAUCUACCGUGGCCACGGUCCCGCCCUGCCCGAGUCUCCCUGGCGUUCGUAUGGUGGUGGGACGGGUGCGCCUCGCCGUCCUGAGCACUCCGGCGGUCCAAGCUCCGUCGGGGGUGGCCCGAGUGGUCGGAGCAAGCGCCGGCGCCGGCGGCCUCUCCUCUGCUCUGCGUGCGGCGUCGGGAGAAGGAGAGAGGAAGAAGAGAAGGGAGGAGAGAGAGGGAGUGGAUAAGGUGGGGCCCACCUGUCGGCCCCUCAGCCGUUGACCAGCCCCGGCCCCGCCUUGCCACGCCACUUAAGUGGAAACGUAUUCACUCGAAUACGCUUUCAGUUUUCUGUCCAGGCCCCUGUUUAAAAAUCUUGUCAUUACAGAUGGGUCCCUAGCAGAAAACAUGCUAUAACUUUUUAUCCGUAACUCCAAAUGAGGUGAUUCCAAAGCCUACUUCUUCAUUUCGUAGAGCCUGUUCUAUUGGUUAAAUUCUCACUAUGGUUUAACUCUGUGAAAAUGACCUUUUUGCCUUUACACCUAAACAGCCCCCUCCAAGAGAGAACUAUUUCCGGCAAAUCUUUCUGCGGCUUCACCACACUUCUCCCCGGUGCCUUCUUCAUCCCCAAGCAAGCCACAGUGACAUUUUCAUAGUGCCACUUCAAUAUUUGUGAUUUUUUUACUUGAACUUAUGAAUUUUUAUGCAUUUAAAUUAGUUAUAUAAUGAUUAUAUCUGUUAAAUGCUUGUCAUGUUAAAAAUACUUGAACUAUAGAAUGUUUGAGGUAAAUAUUGUUGAUAAGCUAAAGAGAACUUAGUUGCAAGUGAUGAAUAAAUGAUAUAGUCAUAGAGUUGGAUAAUUAAUUAUAUUAUUAUUUUUGCAUGAUGAAAAGUAAUGAAAUUGCUAGAUAUGAUUCUGGUAUAAGUGAUGUGUGAUCUUAACUAGAGUAAGAACAUGAGUUGAUGAUGGAUCCAUAGGAGCGUGGUUAAUUCAGUUGUUUGCAUGGUUAUGUGGUGCACAUAUUAAGUGAUGCAUAGUAUGGCAUUAUGAGACCGGUUAUUUUCACAUUAAGUUGAACCUGAUUAAUAACUCAACUUGAAUAUGUUGUUGUCCGGGUCAUGGUGCUGCUGAAACGAGUUUUUCCCAGUGCAACCACAUUUGCCGGUAUGGGACGACUUUAAUGAAUUUCAUUGUCAUGCCUCUGGUCAGUGCCUUCAUUUAGGGAAGGUUAUGGGCGUGCUGUACCCUGGCCCGGUAGGCAAGCAUAACCUUGUGAGCCCGUUGUAAGUUAUUUUUUUGGUACCGGAUCCCAGAGUGGAUCGUGGCCACGACGGUGGUCGAGGUGUCUGGAGGUAGACACGGGGCCCCCCAGGACUAGCCCGAUGGGGUCUGAGUCGGAAUGGCUGAGAGAGUGUCAUGACAAUGAAAUGGUUUUGUCGGAACACUGAUGGUCCGCCCGACUGGGAGUGCGAGGCCAUGGGUUCCGUAGUGUGGGUACAGUGUACUAACCUCUGCAGAGUGUUUUUAAUCUAUCGAUAGCGAGUCCAUGGUUACGGACACGCUCGAAAGUAGGAUACACCAUGGGUCAACACUUAAUAAAAUAUGCACACUAAAUUUGUACUGAGGAUGGCAGUGAGGCCAUCGUGUUGAGUUUGGCCAUGAGUUGGUCGGGUUUGUGAUCGCCGUAAGGAUCACGGGCCAAGAGUUGGUCGGGUUCUAAUCGCCGUAAGGAUCAUUGGCCAUGAAUUGGUCGGGUGCUGAUCGCCGAAAGGAUCACACGUGUGUUUUCGAAGUUAUCAUGUUUGUGGUAUGGAAAUGAUCACGUUCGGUAAGAAGUACCAGUUGAGCAUAGUCACAACAUAUUAGACGUAUGGUUGCAUUGUUGCUUAAAUGGUUAAAUAUCCUGAUAUUGUUUGCCAUUAUGUUUAUGCUUAUUGUGAGCUUGCAAGUAUAUUCAAUGUACUGACCUGGCGUGUCAUGCCACUUUGCAGGUCAUGCCGGAUUUGAUUACUUGCUUGUCGUGGUUUCCGUUCGUGCGAGCUAGGAUAAGCGUUCCAGCCAGAGUCCCUGCGGAGUGGAGUUCACCACCGUCGCCGUUGUUCCGCUACUAGAGUUAUUCCGCUGCUUUGAGUUCUUCUGCUGCUUUCAUAGAUCAACUGAGGAUGGCGUAGUGCCGACGUACCGAUGUUAUUAAUUGUAAUAUCGGAGACCUUGUAUUCAUAUUCGUGUAAUAAUAAUAGAAAGCUGGUUUGUUCUAUGCUAAGCAGUGCUGUAUUCCAGAAGACUUCUCCUUGAUCAUUGGGCUGGAAUACGGGGCGUUCCGAUUUCCUCUGAGCAGGGGUGCUACAGGCUUGGUAUUAAAGCAGGUGUGGUUGUAGGACGCCCUAGACCGCGCAAACGUUAAAAAGCAUUACUAUAGACCCCAUUUGGUUUGUUGCACUUGAUUGCUGCAUUUGUUUGUUGCAUAGCAUGCAUUUAGGCUUAGUAUUUGUGAUAACGGUUUAUCUGGUGAGUGUAGCUAGCAUCGAUUCAGAUCCACUACAGCUGAAGCUUUGCAUUUCUCUAGUUCCUUUUUCUUUCGGUGUUUGGUGUCGUUUCUGUCCCAGCAGAGUGAUGCCAAGUGAUCCCGACACUGUUUGCAAAAAUGGUGCUCAGGUAUCGCAUCGAUGUCUUUCUUUUAGUCCUAUCUAUCGUUUCGGUGAUGGACAUGUUUCUAUCCCGGAUCGUUCUUUUUGUCGUGUUGGCAACCCUUAAUGAUCUUAGUUAUCAAGAAAGGGCAAUGUCAGCAGCCUCAGUUUUUCCCCGCUAUCCUAUUUCUUGGACGAGUACAGAUCUUUUUCUGUCCGCUUGAUAAUAAAGUAGUUGCGACCUUCGUGUCCAACUACAUGAUUACCGAGUACGUCCUCGCCUCUAAGCUAGUUCAAGUUGCUACCUGGCUAAGCUAGUACAUGGUGUAGCACUGUUUACACCAAUUCUUCCACACAUUUAUUCGUCCUCGUGCACAUCGCCACAGCAUAUUAGACAACAAUACCGGAGUUUCUGCGAAAUUUGUGUGCUUAGGUGUGCAUGCAUAUUAUUGUGUGAGUAGCAGUAAUAUGUGAUGCUUGCUUGAUUAAUUAUAUUAGUAGAAUGCUUGUGUGCUAUUGUUUUAGUCGUUUCUUUUGUUCCUUUCUUUGGGCCUUCAGUGUUACAAAAUUUUCCCCUAUUAAAGUUGCUCGUCAGCCGACAGUGGACCCGAAGAGUCAGCAAGAAAUGCAUAUAUUUGGAAACUCAGCUAAAUAGAAUGGAAUUAUCAGCUGACUGAAGUGAAAUUGAGAAUAUCUUGUCUGGAUGCAAAAGAAAUCCUGGAUGGACCUUGAGUAUCAAGUUUGCAUUAGCAUGCACUCAUCACAACAAAAUGAUUAAAUCAGCAAGAAGAUAAAUUGUGUGCAAGGUUGAAGAAUAUUAUCAAAGGUAUGGCUCAGAGACAAGUUUAAUUUUUAUUGAGGAUGAUUUUGGAACCCGAUGUACUUGGAAGCAAGCAAAAAUAUGGCAUAUACUCAGAAAGGAGGAUAGUCCAGUAAAACAAUGUUUCAUACAAGAAAUCAACAUCAGAAAUAUUGAGAUGGUAUGUAUAUGUGGAAAUCGGUCCGCAUAUCACAGUAAGAAGUUUAUGGUGUAAGCAACCCACUUUUCCCUCGCAAGAUACCCGAGAGGCUUCCAAGGCAAGAUUCAUCUAUCCUCCUCAGUACGAUACAUGCACGACAUCUCGCGCAAGGUACUCUGCCGUCUACAGUAAGCAACGGUGAAGACUUUUGGCAUAAGGUACCGAGUCUUUCCCCAGCAAUGUCUUUAAGGGGGUAAGCUUCUGAAGCACGAUAUCCAGUCUUCUUCAGCAAGCUGUCUGUUGAAAGUUUCGAGCACAAGCCAGCAAAUAUUCCUUAGUAAGACAUUGGUACAAGGUAGUACGCUGUGAAUUGACAACAUGUGGCAGUGAAUCCCAAGAAUCAGAUCCGCAACAUUUUGGUCAGACUCAAGAAUCAGUCAGAAUACAUGUCUGUCUCGGAAUCAGGUCCUCAUAUAUAUGCAAUAAGCAUAGCAUCAAGAUAUUACAAGUCACUUGGAUGAGGAUCUGAUAACCACGUGAGGAUGGUUACGAGAAUAAAGCCAGUAUACACCGCAGUGUGACAAAGAAUUAUGAGGAUUGACGACAUCAAGGAGCUCAAUACAAGUUGUGAUCGGCCGGCCUCCUCUAGCGGCGGCAUGGUGAACGGCGCUGCGCGGGAGGGCCUCCGAAGGUGGCCGUGGCGACGCGUUCGGAGUCGGCUCAAGCGACCCGAGAGGCGAGGGAGGGCCUCCGAAGGUGUUUUCUCGCUGUGUUCGAGUACGGGGAUAAAGAUGACCUGAUUAGAUUCUAAUCGGUUUAGAUUUUAGAGUUCUAUUCAUAUGUGUCAAGUACUUCCUUGUAUACGUCAAAGUCCAGCAUGCCUUAUAUAAAGCCAUGGCCGAUUGAAAAAAAAAUCAAUCUAUUCAAUAUAAACACAUUACUUUUUAUCAUUUGUUUUUUCUGUAGUUUCUUGCCCUAGCAGCCCAAGGGUUUGGUGAUCUUUCUCGUUUUGCACUGACAAACGGUCAGUUUCCGUCCACGAAAGCGAGGGAUUCUUUAUUGCUUUGCCCGACAAGCAAUUGUUCGUCGUCACGAAAGGAUGACAAAUAUCCUGGUGUUGUGCGGCGAUUUCACGUGCCAACACACUUGGCGACUCCACUGGGGACGAAGAAGAAAUACACACGAUGGACACCGAACCCAACAACGGAAGCGACUUCAACCAGGACAACAUCAUCUCCAUCACGCUCGACGAUCUGUCAGAGGAUGAUCGGCGUGAGCUUGAACAAGAGGUUGAGAAGGAGAUGGCUAAGCGGCUAGAAUUGAAGUUGACUAGAUACUACAAGACAAGGAUCGGCCUCGUCAAGAAGGUACAUGUCACUACUAGGAAAAAGGCUAUAGAUGAAAUGACCACUAAUGGCGCACCAGACAUGUGGUGCGCCACUACUAUAUAGCAGUGGUGCACAAUGUGCUGGUGCACCAUUAGUGUGAAAGACACUAAUGAUGCACCAGACACACGGUGCGCCACUAGUAACAAUUUUUUUUUCCAAACAUACUAAUGGCGCACCAGGGCACAGUGCGCCAUUACUACUUCUAACUAGUAAUGGCGCACCAGCCGCAUAGUGCGUCACUACUAUAUUUUUUUAUUCUUUUUUUGCAAAACUACAAAUGGCGCACCGGGGAAUAGUGCACCAUUACUAGUUUAAACUAGUAAUGGCGCACCGUGUCCCGGUGCACCAUUAGUGUGUAUAUAUAUAUAUAUAUAUAGGGAUUGACUAUUCGUCACCCUGGGUGAGGAAUAGUUAUUCUUCACCCCCUCUAUUUUACCAUCAAUACACCGUAAUUUUACGUUCCGUAAGUUUUGUCUUAUUUCUGAUGUAAAAAGAUACCGUAAAAAAAAUAUGAUCGUCGUAAAAAAUAUUUUAUGUUAUGUAAAAUUACAAAUGUAAAAACAUAGUACAAAAUACACAUAAACUACAUUUUUUCUUGUCUUAUGACCUAUUUUUUUAUUUUCUUAUGCCAAUUUUACGUAGUGGAUCAAUAAAAAUGUAACUAUUUGAAUUCCAAACGUAAUUUAAUUAUGAAAUGAUCAUAAAAUUACCUCGGGUGAAGAAUAACUUAUUCUGCACCCUGUACCAUCAUAGGCCUGACUCCUCGUUUGCCCGUACACAAAUCAAUUUUCACAUCGCGGCCGUCAAACCGCUCCCUCGUCACGAGGAGGAAAAGGCGCUCCCCGUCCUCGGGGGCCACCAGCAGGCGUUGCCGCUCCGUCUGAUGCAUCGUGACGAUGGGGGUCACGGGGCACUUGUGGUCCGCCUUGACGUGGCCGCAGAUCAUCGGUGGAUUGUGCAAUUCCCUUUGAACAAAACAGACAUCGAAGCGCAACUAUUUCACAAACUAAAUUGUUGGCGAAACAAAUUCACCCAACUAACCAUUUUGUGUAGCGUCCGACAGGUCAACGCUGCACUACACUGAGUUGCGCGCGAGCGUGGCGAAAUGAACAAAACAGACAUCGAGGCACAACUAUUUCACAAACUAAACUGUUGGCGAAACAAAUUCACCCAACUAACCCUUUUGUGUAGCGCCCGACAGGUCAACGCUGCACUACACUGAGUUGCGCGCGUGCAUGGCGAAAUGAACAAAACUGACCUUGAGGCGCAACUAUUUCAGAAACCAAGCCGUAGGCGAAAUAAAUCCACCCAACUAACCCUUUUGUGCAGCGCCCGAUAGGUCAGCGNNNNNNNNNNNNNNNNNNNNNNNNNNNNNNNNNNNNNNNNNNNNNNNNNNNNNNNNNNNNNNNNNNNNNNNNNNNNNNNNNNNNNNNNNNNNNNNNNNNNNNNNNNNNNNNNNNNNNNNNNNNNNNNNNNNNNNNNNNNNNNNNNNNNNNNNNNNNNNNNNNNNNNNNNNNNNNNNNNNNNNNNNNNNNNNNNNNNNNNNNNNNNNNNNNNNNNNNNNNNNNNNNNNNNNNNNNNNNNNNNNNNNNNNNNNNNNNNNNNNNNNNNNNNNNNNNNNNNNNNNNNNNNNNNNNNNNNNNNNNNNNNNNACACUGAGUUGCGUGCGAGCAUGGCGAAAUGAACAAAACUGACCUUGAGGCGCAACUAUUUCACAAACUAAACCGUAGGUGAAAUAAAUUCUCCCAACUAACCCUUUUGUGCAGCGCCCGACAUGUCAGUGCUGCACUACACUGAGUAGUGUGCGGGCGCGGCGAAAUGAACAAAACUAACCUCAAGGCGCAACUAUUUCACAAACUAAACCGUAGGCGAAACAAAUUCACCCAACUAACCGCUUUGUGCAGCGCCCGACAGUUUAGCGCUGCACUACACUGAGUAGCGUGCGGGCGCGGCGAAAUGAACAAAACUGACCUCAACGUGCAACUAUUUCACAAACUAAGCUGUAGAGGAAACAAAUUCACUCAGCCAACCCUUCUGUGUAGCGCCCAACAGGUCGGCACUGCACUACGCUGAGUGACGCGCGGGCCCUACACUCCUAGCCAGCGUGGCGGCCCCGGCCCUAUUCUUGGUUGUGCGGUGCCUAGGUGAAAGGAGCCACACUACAUUGUGCAGCGCCUAGCUGAAAGGAGCUGCACCACCUUAUAUUAAAAUCGUUGUAACUUUUAAUCCGUGCAUCCGAUGAAAACGUCCCUUAUAUGAAUGUUGUGCAUUUUUCUAUGUUCUACGCAAUGGGGUAUUUUCAUCUAUGUUGGGAUCAAUUUUCUUGAUGAAAACUCUGUCGCAAAAGUGCAUCAUAAUAUAACUAACAGAAGGUGAACUCGCUCCUCUCUAAACCACCAGAAGCAACUAAUGGCUAGUGUUUAGUUCAUCCGAUCUCGUGGAUGCUUCAUGAAAAACAAUAGUACCGUGCUUUCUAAUUGCUGAAAUAGUACUGUGCUUUCUGCAAGUAAAUUGGGACGGAGGGACUAUGAAACAAGGGUGUGUAGUACAUAUGAUCUCUGCUUUCUAAUUGUAUUUUGAGUACAUACAAAAUGUAUUUCCAAAAGCAAGGGUUUGUUCUCUGCUUUCUUCAGGUGGGAUACCUCUGUUGAAGACAUGACCAGAGUAGGUACGCGGAGCGGAACACAGAACACCCAAUCUUCAGUAUAGUAUACACCCUAAGUUUAAAGCCAAAACGCAAAGCGGUGGGAGGGCAAAGCUUGGCUUUAAAAAAAUCGGUGGGAAGGGGAAAGCUUUGGCUCUGAUAGGGAAGAUUGGUAUUGUUAUACUACUUCAAAUCGCCGUGUUCGACCCCCUGUUCAAGAAUUCAUCCGAUUAACCAGUUAAUUUGCCGAUUAAUCCCUACUCGUAGGGUCACCGAGUAGCCUAUAAACCGAUAAAUCGUCUGAUUAAUUGAUUAAAUGGCCAAUUAACUUGCCGAUUAGCCGAUUAAUCCCCUACUCACCAGCCAACCGAGCAGCUACCAGUUAACAAUUUCCUCAACAAUGGUUCGACUGAAUCGAAAGGAUUGAUUGUAUAAGUACUAACUCCAGUCAUGGUAAAUAAAUACCAUAAUUAUGCCUAGUGAGUUCAUAUAGAAUUCUUAAAAUACUAAAGGCGGAUUGUUGUACUUCAAAUUGUACUAUACUACUUUAAAACAAGGAUCUGGCUGAAGAUGAAUGUAAAACACUAUUGCGGAUCUGGCUGAAAGAUGAAUUAAAAACAUUGUUGCGGAUCUAGCUGAAGAUGAAUGAAAAAUCUAAAACACUUGUUGCUUAUCAUAAACACUUGUCUCGUCUCUCUCAAAUAUAUAAACACAGAAACAAAGUUAGGAAGGUUAUGAUUCUACCUCUUCAGAACCACAUCGAAAAGGCCAUGAAUCAAGAAACAGAAGCCAAAAAGGGGGACGAGAAUCAAAGAGUGGCACAGUCAUCACCUUCGGGGUCGCGCCUGCAGCCGGGGCAGACCAGGAGGGGCCGGUGAAGGGGACAAACCAGCCGGGGUGCUGGGGAGGGCCCGGUGGAUGGAGCAGCCGGGGUGCAGGGGAGGGGGCGGCGAAAGGAGAUGCGAAAAGACGAGCCGUGCCGCAGAGGAGUGGAGGAAGGCGAGGAGAAGGCUGACCAUCUGUGUUAUUAAUAUAUGGGCAGUACUUUGCGCCGGCGCGCCGGCCCAAAUUUGGGCCGGUCAGCCUGCAGCCGUCCGAUAUGUCUGCUAACAACUGUUUGAUUAGAGCCUAAUCUUCAUCCUCGUUCACCUCUCGCCCGCAGAGAAACAACAGAAAAAGUCGACCAACACCGCGAUCGCCCUGGCACAUCUCGCAUGAGGAAAAAAAGGUCCACCUUGCUCACCGCCGGCGACGUCCCCGUCGACGGCCCCAUGGGUUGUUGAGCUCCUACGAAGAUGUCACCCUGGGCCGCCGUGGCCGGUGGCAGCAAACAUUGUGCCCGGUUGUAGCAAAUGAGGAUGCCGGUUCCAGCAAAAAUCUCACCAAAAAGCCAGAAAAUCGUGGCUGCAGGAGAGAUGUCAUGGCUGUCAGUGAGAUGUCGUGGAUGGGUGCAGCAGAACGCCGUGCACGAAGUAGCACCGCUGAUUGUUGCUUCCAACAACCACCAGCUCCCCACCGUCGCCAUUGUAGCUUCUAUGGCACCCCCGCCAUCGCCAUUGUAGCUUCUAUGGCACCCCCGCCAUCGCCAUUGCAGCUCUUUAGUGUCGAUGCGUUGCCAUUGCUGCUCUCCAGCACAUCGUACUCGCCGUGGUCACCGUUGGCAACAUCCAGUGUGCAUGGUUCCAGCUAGCCGCGAUGGCCAUUGUAACAAAAAUCCAGCGAGCCGUGGUCACCAUGGUGGCCGUUGCAGCAUCCCGCAUGCACGGUUCUAGCUGGCUGUGGUGACUGUUGUAACAAAAUUCCAGCAAGCCGUGGUCACCGCGGUGACUGUUGCAUCAUCCCAUGUGCACGAUUCGAGCUAGCCGCGAUCAUCAUUGUAGUGCAAAAAUUGGCUGGUUCCAACACAACUCUCGCAGCGUCGUCGACCGUCGCGUGCAUGUCGCAUCUCUUGUUGACAUCGGUUGUAGCACCAUGGUUCGCUGGACUAGCAAAAAUGGUUGUUGGUUCCAGUAUUUUAGCUGCAUCGUCACACGUCGCCCCCUCCUUGUAGCUUUUUUGCCACUGGUUGCGGCAUGCUCGCCGCCAGUUCCAGCUCCUUAGUUGCCGGUUGCAGCACACCCCUGCUGCAGUCGCACCCCUCCUCCCAUAUACUGGUCGCCAUCUAGCACGGCCCCCGUCGGAGCACACAGCGACUGCGACAGAGGAAGACGACAUGCUACGUGGUGGCGCACGGCAGGCGGCAGGCCGUUCCCGUGUCCACUGUGUGCCAUUGACGUAACUCAUCGCCCCAAAGGCCAUCCUGCAGUCCAGGCGUCGAGGACCUUGCCUGCCAGCAACGGUGGCCUUUGUGGCACACAGGGAAACACGGGGGUGGUGCGGCGCCAUGGCCUGUGAGCUGCUGCGUGUUGGUGGAUUGAUGGCGGAGAGGGAGGGCUACUAGCGAGAGGAGGAAGGGAAAUGAGUGGACCAGGCAGUCGAGAGGGAGGAUAAGGCUGAAUAAAAGCGGUGUCGGGGGUGCGUGACAGCAGAUGGCAUGCGUCCUGCACUCCUCAAUCUCUGGCCCGCGUCCGACCGGCUGAGUUUUCAGCCGGUGCGCCGGCCACAAACGUUUUCCUUAAUAUAUGCUGCUGAGCCCAAGAUCCUCCCCAACGGAAGCUUAGUUUUGUUUUUCCUUUUUCCUUUUUCCUCCAAUAAAUAUAUAUCGCAACGGAUACAUUACCUUGGGGUGGUGGUGCGCAACCCGGAAAAAAAUCUGGACCCACUGGUCCAUCUCAAGCCCUCUCGUCAAUUUUUGAUUUACUUCACGAUUUUGACUGGGUCUCUGUUUUGAAGAAUGGUCAUCCUCUCAAUAAAUUCUAUGACAUAGACAUUACGAGCAUAGUUUUCAUAGCAAUAUUUAAGUAUGUCAAAAUUUUCAGAUUUGUAGAGAGUAAUAUUAUAUUUUUCAAUCAAAGAAGCAACUUCAUAAGCACCCUUAAAAGCAACAAAUGUUUCAAUUUGUUCGAUAUCAUAGUAACUAUAAACACCCUUUUCAUAAGAAGAUAAGAUUUCAUUAUCAUUAAACUCACAUAGGUAGGGAAGGUGUUUUCUAGGGUUCUUGGAGCAACAAGUAAAAUCACAAAUUUCACAAAGAUUCCAAGAAUAGCAUAGCAAACAAUUUAUUUGAUUCCAUAGGAGCUUCCCUUUUCAGACAAACGAUGACGCACAAAAUGAGCAUGCUGAUCUAAAGAUUUUCCCUCAACUAAACUAGUUGGCGUUUCAACACGAGCACAUAUGGAUCGAAGAUGAUCCAGGUAGAAAACUUUGAGUGGAUCCAUAUUAAUAGAUUUUUAGCAAGAAAAGAUGCAAUCAAAAUAGAAGGCAGAUGGAAACACAAGCAAACAUAAGAUUGAAUGAAAGAAGGGUGAAUAAAAAGGCAAAUCUUUUCGAAAAUCAUUUUAGAUGUGGGCGAGAGGAAAACGAGAGGCAAAUGGCGAAUAAUGUAAUGCAAGAGAUGAGAGUUUAUGAUGGGUACUUGGUAUGUCUUGACUUCCCCGGCAAUGACGCCAGAAAUUCUUCCUGCUACUUCUUGAGCUUGCGUUGGUUUUUCCCUUGAAGAGGAAAGGGUGAUGUAGCAAAGUAGAGAUAAGUAUUUCCCUCAGUUAAGAACCAAGGUAUCAAUCCAAUAGGAGAAGUACGCACAAAUCACCAAUACUUGCACAAACAAUCAAACACUUGCACCAACGUGAUAAAGGGGUUGUCAAUCCCUUCACGGUCACUUGCAAAGGUGAGAUCUGAAGCUAAAAUAUUUUUGGGUUUUUUAUUUAUGGAUCUGAAAGUAAAAGAUUGCAAAAUAGUAGAUCGGAAACUAAUAUGAUGGAAAAUAGACCCGGGUGCCAUAGGUUUCACUAGAGGAUUCUCUCUUGAAGGCAAAUAAUACGGUGGGUGAACAAAUUACUAUCGAGCAAUUGAUAGAAAAGUGCAAAGUUAUGACGAUAUCCAAGGUAAUGAUUAUGUAAUAUAGGCAUCACGUCUGUGUCUACUAGAGCGACUCCUGCCUGCAUCCACUACUAUUACUCCAUACAUAGACCAACUCAUGCCUGCAUCUAGAGUAUUAAGUUCAUGAAGAACAGAGUAACACUUUAAGUAAGAUGACAUGAUGUUGAGGAAUAAACUCAAGAAAUAUGAUGUAAAGCCCAUCUUUUUAUCCUCGAUGGCGACAAUACAAUACGUGCCUCACUACCCCUACUUUGUCACUGUGUCAGGACACAGCAAGAUUGAACCCAAAUCUAAGCACCUCUCCCAUUGCAAAAAAAUACCAAUCUAGUUGGCCAAACUAAAUCGAUAGUUAGAAAAGAAAUAAAAAGAUAUCAAAUCAUGCAUGUAAGAAUUCAGAGAAGAUUCAAAUAACAUUCAUAGAUAAGCCGAUCAUAAAUCCACAAUUCAUCGGAUCUCAACAAACACACCGCAAAAUAAGAUUACAUCGGAUAGAUCUCCAAGAACAUCGAAGAGAACAUGGUAUUGAGGCUCAAAGAGAAAGAAGAAGCCAUCUAACAACUAGCUAUGGACCCGUAGGUCUAAGGUAAACUACUCACACUUCACCGGAAGGGCAAUAGAGUUGAUGUAGAAGCCCUCCAUUGAAAAGUGUUUUCGUGGAUGCUUCUGGUGGUUUGGGAAGUUAUAUUAUGAUGCCACCAGCAGGUGCGCCAUUAGUAACCUGGGACCAGCUAGAUAUUUUGGACAGCCACACCUACCCACUCACUUUCCCCACUUCAUUCUCUCCACCUCCUCCUCCAAGCUUGUCUCGGCUACCUCCUCCUCCUCACCUCAUUUGCACCAUAGAUUCAUCCAAAUUAAGUGGUUAAAUUACCUUUUUUUGAUAGGUGAGGGGGAAGCUAUCUUUAUGUUGUUCUCCCUCCAACAAUGUGCACAUGCACUUUUUAUGGCCUAGCUAGAUCUAUGUAUGUUCGUGGUGUUGCAUAUGUUUGUGGUGUUGCAUAUAUGUUUGUGGUUGCAGGUACCGGUAUUUGAAAUGUGAUAGUUGCCAAUAUUUUGCCGGAAUGUUGAUUCAUUUCCGUUUCGGCGAGAAUUUUGGCACUAUGCAUUCUUUUUGUCCUAUUUUAGGGAAAGUCAUGCCAAAUUUUUUCUUGGUUCUAAAAUAUCGUUUUGCUCUACCCCGCAGGCGACCAUGGUCCGCACGAUGACCGAAGGCAUCGUGAAUAGGUUUUUGAGCUCCGCGAAGGCCGAGAUGCUUCAAAAGAAUGAGACAAAGAUAAGAUGUCCGUGUCGAAGAUGCAAGCUAAAGAGCCUUAUUGCGGACCCGGAUUCUGGGUAGGUGCGGGACCACCUGCUCUUGCAUGGUUUCAUGGAUGGCUAUUGGUGGCAAGGUGAUGAAGAUGACUAUGAAGUCGUCCAUGGGGGCCGGGCAAGAAAUGAGGAAGGGCAGCAAGACAACCACCGUGGCUCGGGCGGGCGAGAAGACAAAGAAUCUCCAGGACAUGAUCACGAUGGUGAUGCUGUACACAAUCAUCAUGUAGAAGAUGCAGGACAUGAUGAUGAGGAAGGUGCCGGAGUAGACGAAGGGCAUGAUCAUGAAGAUGAAGAUGCCGGCGGAGCAGACGACAAUGGACCAUCGAUGGGCUGGGUGCAGGACCCUCAUAUUCAAGAGCUGCUUCUCAAGCAGACGGAUAACACAAGAGCUGCCGCCCGAGAGAAAGCCAAGCUGGAUCAACUGGAGAUAGACGCGGUUACUCCAUUGUAUGAAGGAUGCAGGCCCGAGGAUACCCGCCUGAAAGUAACGCUCAUGGCUCUGGAGAUGAAGGUAAAACACAAAAUGACCGACGCAUGCUUCAACGAGAACAUGACAUUCUGGCGCGAACAUCUUCCCAAGGGGAACAAGUGCCCGACCAGUUUCGAGGAGGCGAUGAAAAUCGUGUGUCCUCUGGAUUUACCGCACGUGAAAUACCAUGUGAGCAUGAACAAUUGCAUCAUUUAUCGGGACGAGCACACGGAGUCUACCAUAUGUCUGGUGUGCAGCGUCACUCGAUACAAGAAGAGGAAGAAAGCUCCUCAAAAAGUGGUGUGGUACUUUCUGAUCACUCCUCGUCUGCAGCGGUAUUUCGCGGGCCCUAAGGUAGCAAAGCUCCUGCGUUGGCACGCGGAUAGGGAGGAGAAGAAGCCAGAAGAUGACGCAAAUGAUUCGGAGAUAAAUAAAAAAGACAAGAUGCUGAGUCACCCUAGGGAUGGGAGCCAGUGGCAAGCGUUGAACUUCGAACACCCAGAAUUUGGGAAUGAUCCAAGGAACAUCGUGUUGGGUGCGAGCCCCGAUGGAGUCAAUCUGUUUGGCAGCCAGAGAAGCACACAUAGCACCUGACAUGUGUUUGUGUGGAUGUACAACCUUCCCCCUGGUUGUGCAUGAAGAGGAAGUACAUUCGCAUGAGUAUGCUAAUUGAAGGGCCGAAACAACCAGGGAACGACAUCAAUCUGUAUCUGGGGCUGCUGAAAGAGGAGCUAGACACGCUGUGGAAAAUGCCAGCCAAUACGUGGGACGCCGCACAAAAAGAAUAUUUCCCUAUGAGAGCCGCACUGCUCACGAUGGUGCAUGACUAUCUCGGUUACGGAUAUGUCGCGGGGCAGGUGGUCCACGAAUUUUCUGGAUGUGUUAGGCGCAUGGAUUACACAACGUAUCGCCAGCUAGAUAGAUCGGGUCUUUGAAAACCGUGUUCAUGGGACAUCGAAGGUGGCUUCGCGACGAUGACCCGUGGAGGAAACGCAAGGAUCUGUUCGAUGGUGAAACCAAACCCCGAAGACGCCCGCAUACGAGGCGCAGCGAGGAAAUAGAUGAGCUGUUGAAAAAUUGGAAAGAUUGCCCACUACCGGGAAAGAAGCAAAAGGCGCCAGAGCCGGGAAAGAAGCAAAAGGUGCCAGAGCCGCUGCUGAAGGUAUGGAAAACGAGGUCUAUUUUCUGGGACUUGUCGUACUGGAAGAUCCACCGUGUGCCUCAUAGCCUUGAUGUCAUGCAUAUCACGAAGAAUGUGUGCGAGAGUCUGCUUGGUACCCUGCUCAACAUGCCAGAGAGGACCAAAGAUGGGCCGAAAGCAAGGGCAGACUUGAAAUCAAUGGGCAUCAGGGAGGAGCUUCACGCUAAUGAUGAUGAUGAUGAGCCGAAGCAGGACACGGAAAGUCGUCGCAAAGGCAAAAAGGCCAAGAAGACCGGAAAUGACUACCCUCCCGCGUGCUUCACUCUAAGUCAGGAGGAGAUCGAUCAGUUUUUCAGCUGCCUCGUAGGAGUAAAACUUCCUUACGGUUACGCGGGGAAGAUAAGCAGAUACCUAGACCCAGCGAAGCAGAAGUUCAGCGGGAUGAAGUCUCACGACUGUCACGUGCUGAUGACGCAGAUACUUCCAGUUGCAAUCCGUUGGAUCAUGGACGCGCACGUCUGUGAAACGCUAUUUGGCUUAUGCAACUUUUUCGACGUCAUCUCUCGAAAGUCGGUUGGCGUGAGGCAACUUAGAAGGCUACAGGAAGAGAUCGUGGUGAUACUAUGCGAGCUUGAGAUGUACUUCCCGCCCGCAUUCUUCGACGUUAUGGUGCAUCUGCUGGUCCAUAUCGUGGAGGAUAUCAUCCAACUCGGGCCGACGUUCCUGCACAGCAUGAUGCCGUUCCAAAGGAUGAAUGGUGUCAUCAAAGGAUACGUUUGCAACAUGUCACGUCCAGAGGGAAGCAUAGCCAGGGGCUUUCUGACCGAAGAGUGUAUCUACUACUGCACGAAUUAUCUAGGCAUCGAGAACCCCGUUGGUCUGCCCGUCAACAGGCACCUCAGUAGGCUCGCUGUAUGGGGUCACCGUGAGGGUCGCCGCGAAAUGCAUGUCGACUUCAAGGGUCGACUCGCUGACUUUGAAAGAGCAAACCUAGUCGCGCUACAACACAUAGACGUGGUCGAUCCUUGGGUGGUAGAGCACAAAACCUUUAUUGAGAAGACAUACAAUGACCGAGGCCAAUAGAGGACGGACGAAGAUAUAAUCAAAGAGCACAACUCAUGUUUCACGCAUUGGUUCAAGCAAAAGCUUCUGUCAUACCCUUUACAUGAGGAUUCUUCCGCGGAAGAACAACUCAUAUUCGCCUUGUCACAGGGCGCCGAGCACAACCUGAUGACGUAUGAGGUGUACGAUAUCAACGGCUACACAUUCUACACCGAGGGAAAGGACAUGAAAAGCGAUGGUUAUCAGAAUUCCGGGGUAACGAUGGAAUCCUACACCGGUAAUGACAAGGACAGAUACUACGGAAGGAUCGAGGAGAUCUGGGAGCUGAGCUACGCUUGAGAGAAGGUCCCGAUGUUCCGUGUCAGAUGGGCCAAGAGCGUCAUAAAAGAAGACCGGUAUUUCACCAUCAUGGUUAUACCCGAAGCCAAAUCCAAGACUGCGGGCGCAAACGUCACCGCGGAAAAUGAGCCAUGGGUACUGGCUUCCCAAGUGGACCAAUGCUUCUUCAUUACCGACCCGCCAAAGCCCAGUCGUGUUGUCGUGAGGAGAGGCAAAAUGAAGAUCAUCGGAAUGGAUGGAGUCGCCAAUGAGCAAGACUUCGACAAGUACGACGACCCGAAGAUGGAACAUGACGACGACGAUGAAGUAUCAGCAUACACCACAAGAAGAAGCAGGACCACCCUACCUAAAGGACGUCCUUUCAAGAGAAGAACUCCAUUUACAAAAAAUAAGGGCAAGAAGAUUGUGAACAGAUAACUAGCUAAGAUCGAUUGUAUUUAAAUUGUAGCCUUCAUUUCUCGAUUAUUGUAUUUCAUGGGCACUUUUUGAACUCAUGAAUAUUUUUAAAUUUCAUGGGCACUUUUUGAAUUCAUGAAUAUUUUUCAAAUUUGAUGAUAUUUUUUCAUAUUCAAUAUGAAAAAAUAUUGAAUAUUCAUGAGGACACUCGAUCUCGAUCCCCCUCCAUCUUGAUCUAUAUCCCCCUCCAUCUCGAUCGCUAUCCCCCUCCAUCUCGAUCUCGAUGCCCCCCGCACCCUCCCCCGCUCCACCGCCGCCGCCGACCCCCCGCACCCUCCCCGGCCCGCUCCACCGUCGCCGAGCACCGGCCGCACCCUCCCCUGCUCNNNNNNNNNNNNNNNNNNNNNNNNNNNNNNNNNNNNNNNNNNNNNNNNNNNNNNNNNNNNNNNNNNNNNNNNNNNNNNNNNNNNNNNNNNNNNNNNNNNNNNNNNNNNNNNNNNNNNNNNNNNNNNNNNNNNNNNNNNNNNNNNNNNNNNNNNNNNNNNNNNNNNNNNNNNNNNNNNNNNNNNNNNNNNNNNNNNNNNNNNNNNNNNNNNNNNNNNNNNNNNNNNNNNNNNNNNNNNNNNNNNNNNNNNNNNNNNNNNNNNNNNNNNNNNNNNNNNNNNNNNNNNNNNNNNNNNNNNNNNNNNNNNNNNNNNNNNNNNNNNNNNNNNNNNNNNNNNNNNNNNNNNNNNNNNNNNNNNNNNNNNNNNNNNNNNNNNNNNNNNNNNNNNNNNNNNNNNNNNNNNNNNNNNNNNNNNNNNNNNNNNNNNNNNNNNNNNNNNNNNNNNNNNNNNNNCUGCCUUGCGCCGCCUCCCCGCAUCGGCCCCUGCCCUACGCCGCCGCCGACCCCGUCCCCAACCCCGACCCCGACGGCGACCGGCCGCGCCUGCCCAGGUACCUCUCCUCCUUCCUCCUUCCUCCCUCUCCACCCUUCCUCCCCAUUCCCUCCCUCCCUCCCCUUCCGCCGCGCCCUCCACCUCCCCUCCGCCCUCCUCCCCGCCGUCAGCCCCGCCCCGCCCUCGAUUCUAGUAGGCUUGCUCGGGUGCUGGUGUUCUUGCCAGGAUUAGUAAAUGGGACCUUGUAGGAUGUUAACCGUCGGUGUGUCUGUCAAAACUAAAAACCCAACGGUUAUGACUGAAUUUCCAAACUAGCUUGUAGUAGUAGAAUGCUAGUGGAGUCGCUCUUACUAUGCGUCUCAAAACUGAAUAUGGUUUUCCAUGAGGUUAUCGAGGAGCUGCCGGCCUGUUUUCAUUCUGGUGGGGAGAACCGGGGAACUGGAAUGCUUGUUUGGCUGACCUCUUACAAUGCAGUAGAUGAUCUUUUUUUCGGCCUGCAUUGCGCUCCGCUGCUAUGAACUUUUGAUAGGCCGCGCGACGGAAGCCACUUCAAGCUAUUGUGUGUUUCUCUGAAUGUUGUGUUUCUUCAGUUCUUUAUCCAUUCUUUGUUCCUGCUGAAUGUCAUGCUAAUUUAGUUUGUUUUGUUUUGCACAUCGGUAGGCAAAGCCUAGUGUUUGUUUCAGACAUUUACUGAAACUGAACCAAGGAAAUUUGGAUUUCAUUGUUACAGUUGCAGGAAAAGGUCAUAUUAUGAGUGAAAUAUAUUUAAAAUGUCUAUUUAGUUCUGUUUUCAGAUAUAACCUUGUAAGUAGAAACAUGUAUAACUCAAGUAAACCAUACAUCUAGUUAAUAUUGCACAGGCAGCAAUGUUAAGUCUUACUAUGAACCUAGCAAUAAAAAUGAUGAAGCUCCUGUCAAUUUUUGACAUAUCUUAAGUUCUUAACAAGACAUGUUUGUCGUCUUUUAGCUAGUGUGAUGAGAUUUUGGUACCUGUACAUUCCUUGUACCAACUUAGGCAAAUAAUAAUUUAUUUGUUUUUGUGACAAUUGGUUGAGCACAUCUUCUAGCCUCUUGUGAAUACAUCUGGGACAACGCUUCACACCAGUCAGGUAUAUACUGCUUCAGUUUCGAGUGAAAUCCUCUACCAUAGCCCCUGCCCCAGAUGAAGUGAGCUAUAUAUCUGUAUGAUGAUCCUCCUUUCCUAAAAGUGAGAUUGCCAUAUGUAGUUCAGAACUGACCUAGCUAAGGUUGUUUUCCUACUGAACAAUGAUAUUCCAGUUUGUUCCUCACCCACAUGCUCCCAUGUUAUUGUUAUCGAAAAUAAAAUUGCUCCAUGAAAAUGUGUAAGCUUUAUAUGGCAGAAGGUUGUGCAUUUACUGAAUCAUCAUUUCUUGCACAUGGACGAUUUGGUUGUCCAUGAUUAGGGAUGGACCUCAUAUGUCCUCUGCUAUUGUUGAACAUGUUGUAAUCAAUUACAACUCCUACAGAAGAAUCUGUAAUUUUGACAGGUAUGAGAUAUAUUUUGGUCAAUGCUGCAUGAUGCGUGUGUGGUUGAUGGUCACAUGCUAGCUUAGGUUGUUUUGCUAUAGAAUGGCAUUUAUUUCAGUUUGUACCUCAUCAUGCCCCUUCCCAAUGUCCAUCGUCGAGUAGUUUGCUGGUUUUGUUGAAAAAGAAAAGAAAAGCAAACUGGUUGUGUCCUUCUCACAGGCCCAUAUAGAGAAUUGUGAUUAUCAAUUUACUGAUUUUUGUUCAAAUUUUAUCAUGCCUCUUUUGAGAAGUAUGUCUAUUGAUUCAAAAUUGCCAUGGCAAAAAUAUGUUUCAGAAAAUGACAUGGACUAAAAUGUUCUAUAGAUCAUGAUCCAUAGACAAAAAAAAUGCCAAGAUCCAUACAGUAUAAAUUCCAUGAUGCAUAGGCUAUAUUUGCCAUGGAAGAUGGCAAUUUUGUUGGAUCAUGAUCCAGAUAUUAAAAAAAUGCAUAGACUAUAAUUUCCUGGCAUGAUCCAUAGGAUAAAAAUGUAGAAUAAAAAAUGCCAUGAUCCAUACACUAUAAUUUCCAUGAUGCAUAGACUAUAUUUGCCAUGGCCCGGUGCAAAAGAAAUUUGCCAUGUUGCAAAAAGAAAAGAAAUUUGCCAUGGUGCAUAUAGUGAAAACAAUGCCACGAUCUGUAAAAUACAUUUGUCAUGCUCCAUGAAAGUAAAUUUCCAUGGUCCAAAUGUACCAGAAGUUUCAAGUAGUGUUUUGUUUCUGUGUUUGAAUAGGCAGCAAACUUUCUAUUCUUUCUGUGUUUGUACAGACUUGCUAAACUAUUGAUGAUUUUUUGUUGGGUGUCCUAUUAGAUCUGGAAUGGAAGCUCACAUAAGUUGAGCUGAUUUUUGUCCAUAUGAAAGCAGAGGACCAUAUGGUCUGUGGCCUUUUCAUCCAUAUGAAAGUAGAGGCACAUUGUGGUGCUACUUUGCUGGGUUUUGUCUCCGACCUUCGUGUCAUGAUGAUUUUGUAGGUACCCCGAGAGGCCCUUGAGUUUGCCGGAAUGUCGAUUAACUUACGUUCUGGUAAAUUCGGGUACUCCACAUGUCCUAUUUUCAGCAAAGGUCAUGCUGCAAUUUUCCGUGAAUUUUAGCAUGACUUUGCUAAAAAUAGCACAUAUGGGGUACUUGCGACUAAUGCAUGGGUCGGGGUAUCUUAGUACUUAAUUAAGUAGGAUCAACUGCCCCGCCAUUCUUGCUGCAUUAAACCAUAUAUGGCAAUAGAGCCAAGUGAUUAGGCCCAACCUAAAUGAUGAAACCUUGGCUUUUAUAGGGUGCCUCGGUGUCGAUGAGAACCUAAAUGAUGUACGCUUAGGCUUUUAGGGUGCCUCGGCGUCGACAAACCCUAAAUGAUAAAAGCUUAGCUUUUAGGAUGCCUCGGUGUCGACAAACCCUAAAUGAUGAGACCAUGAUCUUGUUCCUUGACAAUAACCAACUUUUUGACCAAACUUUUUUCCUAUUUAGAGCGACACAUGGCCCACAAUGAUGAGGCCGGCGGUUCGGGCGGCAAGCAAUUCUGGGAGCUGUCCCAGGAGAUGGAGGAAGAACCUCACCGCUACGAGGAUGCCGCGGACGACACCGAUCCUGACUACACAACCCCUAGUGGCGUCGGGGAUGACAUCACUGAUGGUGCCGCCGAGGAUGCCACCACUGAUGAUGGCGGCGCACACACAGAUGGCAGCCAACCGAAGAGGCAAUGGAAGGACCGACGCCCGAGCGUGCUCGGCACCAUCAAGGAGGAAUUUACUGAAGUGAACUCCGCCGGGCAUGCAACGGCGCCCAAAUAAUUAGUCAAGGGGUAAUCGGUUCAGCUCGGGUGCAUUCUCCGGAGCACCGUCUCGAUCAACACCGAGAACCUAAGGCAUAAGGACCAAGGGAAUUUGCGCAGCCUCCUCUUCACGAAGCUGCACGAACGAUACAAGUUCCCCGCUGACUUUGCAAACACACGCCUCUCAGCGAAUAAAGUGAACAAUGCCGCCCUCACAAGGAUGAGCACGGACCUGUCUACUUGGAGAAGCACGGUGAAGGCAAUGAUUGAAAAAGGUGAUAGUUAUGAGAAGAUCAAGGCAAAAUAUCCUUUGAUCAGCGAAGAUGACUACAAGGAGUUCAAGAUCAAGUGCGAGAGCAGCGCAACCUCCGAAUCAAGUCAGUGGGGGAAAGAAAUGCGGCAGUUGAACUUAGGGGUCCACCAACUCGGUCCCGGCGGUUACAGAGUGGCGGAGCCUAUAUGGGACAAGGAGGACGUAGAGCGUGCCGUGCAAGGCCUAUCGCCCCGCUUCGAGAAAUACCGUGACAAGCAGACUAGGAACUUUGUCAGGGCCCGGUACAAGGAGGACCCGGUAACAAAGGAGCUUACCACGGAUCUGAAGACCAGGGCGCUUGAGCUUGUUCUGGUAAGGAAUACACCCUCGCGUAAUUAGCUCCAUAUGGUUGCAUUCUAAUUAAUCCCCAAUAUUUCUAAAUGGUUCAUGUUCCUUCCGCAGGACACUGAAAGCAGUAGCGCGGGGUCGUCUCAGAGCUCCCCUUUCGACACCCCUUUAAAUAGGGCGUUGAACGUAAUGAAAAACAAGGAUAAGCUCAGUAAGCCGUCGUUAGCUGGUCGUGUGGCCGGCAAAGGCUUGUGCACAAAAUGGUCAUCAUACUAUACCGCUGGUGGGCAAAAGGAGAAAAAGACCAGCUCGGAAAGCCAGUCGCGCGAGGUUGAAGCACUCAAGGCACAAGUGGCGCGGAUUCCGGAGAUUAUCCAAGAGCAAGUGCAACAAUAACUGGGAACGACGCUCACCGCCAUGGUGCCUACGUUGAUUUAGGGGCUGACGACAUGGAUUGCGGGCAGCCAAUAGGGGCCUCCCCCGGUUCCCAGCUUCAUGGCCAGCAACUCGCACAACUCGCAGGAGGCGCCAUUGGUGUCUCAGGCGGCACCAUUGGUGUCUCCGGUGAAGGCGGUAUUCAUGUCUCCAGCGCCGGCACGGGCAUUGGAGCUUAAUGCACCCGGGUGUACGCCAGCCGACACCUCGCCAGCAAGCGGCCCCUCCGUCAGUUGCACGCCCGCCGUUGGCGGUGCCUCGACAUUAGCCGAGCUCGACGGCAUCACGGUAACUAAGCCUCUCGGCCGAUGACUUCAUCUCCUUGCCUUUGACUGGGCAUCCCUGACGCCCUACAUGUUUUCGCAGGGCGCCACCGACGUUCCUUGCACUCUCCUGCACUUCGUGGGCGGCGAGUUGGUUGAUGUCGCGAAGGGAAGAAUGGUUCAACCAGGCAACCCCGUGUUCCACGGUAGUCCGAUGCCACCCACAGUGUAUAGGGUUGAACUGGUUCAGGUGCUGCCAGGCUGCGACGAGUUGUUACCUCCGAUUCGACCCGCUGGGGCCGAGGAAGAAGAUAAGAUGACCCUCAGCGCCUGCGUAAACUGGCCCCUGCUUUGGCCGAAGAGCCAGAUUCGUUUGGGGGCGGGGGACACCACCCCACAGACAAGACCACCAGUCGUGCCGGUGCCAAGCCAUGGCAAGAAAGCCACAACGCUACCGGACAUGCCGAACAUCCCUAUGGCACAGGAUCCAGACAUGCAUAUGGCACAGGUUCCGGACGACGAUGACAACGACGAUGGUACAUUUACCAACGUCGAUAAGUACUUUGCCGAACAUGGGUACUGUGAUGAGUUCUGCGGGCCUCCUUCUCAAGAACCCAACCAAGACGACCGCGAUCUAGCUGGUACCACGGGGAAACCUAAUUGCAAUAGGCGUCGUCUGGCAUUUAGUUCUCAGGAGACGCCUCCAGCUGCCGCCUUCACCGAGCCUCAGAUAGCCGAGGUGCGAAAUAUUAUCAGCCCCAACACGCUCAAGAAGGUGGUCUGUGAGAAGAACUCGAUCCCAUUACAACAGAUCAAGAAGAAGGGACGAAAACGAAAGACUAACAAGGGCGCCGGUGCGAGCCAGCCGGCACCGAGUACGAUCCGUGCUCAGGACGGGCCACCUUCACCUAAGGAUAUCUCGAAGAGGGUGCAUGUGGCGGGUAGGUCGAUGCUACCGACAAAUAUGCUCAAUGUUGCAACCGGUGCUAUGCGGAGUCUGCAUGAUAGUGUUCUUUCUUUGGAGAAGAGGCAUCUCUCCCAGAAUGAUGUGGCAUACCCGGUUUUUGUGUCCAAGGUGCCAGAGGGCAAGGGCUUUGUGGAUGGCGCCAUCGGGGGUACGACCGUCCUGCGGUUUGAUGACAUCUUUGCUAUGUUUAACCUUCAUCCGCUGCACUACACCUUCGUUCGGCUGUUUUCGCUGAGUAUGGAGAUGCGGAUCAUUCAAGACAAGACCCCGUACAUCAUGAUAGUCGAACCCUUCUACAUGCGUGCCAAUAUCUUGGGCAGCGCUAGGGACCGGCAAGUCACGAGUUCACAGCUCGAAGGCGUCAUUCUAGCAAACCCAGAUAAGGAUAACUUCCUCGUGCCUUACUUUCCCGAGUAAUUCAUCCCCUCACCGCCCCGUAACAUAUUAUUUCUUAGAUUUCGAUCGUUCUUUUUUUUUUCUAACAUUCCGUGUUCUGUGCAGUGACACACAUUGCACACUCAUCCUCUUAAGCCCGAAAUAUUCCAUGGCCAUGUAUUUUGACCCGGACCGUGACUCCAAGAUAGACUACACAAAUAUCAAGAAAGUUUUUGAUGAUGCUCUCCCCGGCUACGCCACAUCUGGAGGCACCUUUAAGAGGCCAGUUCAUAGGUACGGCAGGCACGUGUUCACCCACAAUACGACGUUCCCCUGCGUUAAGCAGCCGCCUAGCAGUCAGAAGGAUGCCUACUACGCCCUCCAUCACAUGUGGGCGAUCGUACGGGACCAUAAUCACCUUCUGCUACCAAAUAAUCUCAAAGAUUGGGCCGCAAGCUUGGCGGCAAUCCAGGACGCGGACCUCCGACAAGAAUUCUUUCGCAUCCAGACGGAGUUUGCAGAAAUCAUCCAUCAAGAUGUCCUUCGUGCCUCGGGGCAGUUCUACCUUAGAGAUCAACCGUCCAAUAGUGAGAUAGACACAAUGCUACAAAUGCAGGCUGACAACGCCCACGACUUCAUGACCAUCACGAAAGAUGGCGGCUUCGUCCAUGCUCCGGUCCCAUGAGUCGAGUCGAAAGUAGUGAUGCUAUUUGUAGUUCUGAAACAUCGAUUAGCUCAUGUUGUAAUUAAACUUUAAUGAACUUGUAUGUCUCUUUGGUUUGGACAGUCGUUCAACUUAGAUGUAAUCGAUGCUAUUUAUUAGUAGGACCAUGAAUCGUGCUAUUAAUGUCUUGCUUUUCUCUUCCGAUCCUUUUGUUGCAUGCUUAUAUAUUGCUUAUGUAUUGUCUGUUGUUUGGCUUGUGCAUAGAGAUGUCGUCGUAUGUCGUGUACAAGGGUAAGGUUCCCGGAGUCUACGGCGACUGGGAGGAGUGUCGGAGACAGGUUCACCGUUUCAGCGGUAACAAUUACAAAGGGUACACCACUAGGGCGGAGGCGGAAUCUAGAUACACGCGCUAUCUAGCGAGAGAGAGGAGGGAGCGUUGGAGGAACCGGAUGAAGACUAGUUUCAUCGCGAUGAUGCUCAUCGUGAUGACCGCGGCUCUCUUCUAUGUGAUGGUAGUUUAGAUGAUCGAUCUCGACUUGUAAUGUGAAGACAAACUCGCUACUCGCGGUCUCGAGACUUGUAAUGUUCUAUCUUUGUUCGGUCUUUUGAAUUCGGAGACUAAUAUGAUGAAUUGUAUUCGGAGACUAAUCUUCUAUUGUAUUCGAUGAAUCUGUUGUUGCUGUGUGGUGCUGUCUAUAUUCUGUCCAAUAAUAUAUUUUGUAACCUGUGCAAAAAUCAGAAAAGUAAAAAAAAAUCCUAAUAUUCAUAAUAAUGGCACAUCACCCCAAAGUGCGCCAUUAGUAUGCCAAAGGAUACUAAUGGUGCAUCACUCCACAGUGCGUCAUUAGUAUGCCAAAGCACAUGGGUAAAUAUGGCCCCCUGGUAGGCAUACUAAUGGCGCAUGUUGGUCUAUACUAAUGGCGCACGAUGUGGUGCGUCAUUAGUAUACCAGAUACUAAUGGCGCACCAGUGGUGCGCCAUUACUAUUUAAUACUAGUGGCGUGGUACUAGUGGCGCACCGGUAGUGCGCCAUUAGUAGGCAAAACUGGUGCGUCACUAGUAGGCCUUUUCCUAGUAGUGUGUGCGAACCCUUCCGAUUCGAUCAACACCGAAGUAAAAUAAUCAACUUAAAAAAUUUCUCAUCUAAUUGAUGUGUGUGUAACUAAUAAGUACGAUUAUGAUGUGAAAGCUAUGACACACACAAGUACUCAAUUGUAGCUAAUAGAAUUGAAGAAUUUAAGGAGCGGCUUCUUAAAGAUCUUGAAAGUAAUUUACCUAGUCAUGUUUGUUCAUUAGUGCUGCAAAACGUUGAGUAUCCUGAGUAAAGGCCGAUGGAGAAUAGUGGCUUCAUUAACUUUCCUAGUAAUAUUCAUACAGCUGAUGCAUCAGCUAAUAACGUUGUGCAGCCCCAUGUCCCUUUAAGUAGCGAUUAAGGUGGCAAGAACUAUGUGAGCAGUUCAGCUAAUAAUUUUAUGCCUAGCAUAGUUGCUUCUAUUGUCUCAACUUCAGUUCCACAAAAUCACAACAGCAAUAACCGAAGUGCUAGUUUUAAUUCUAGCUUGCACCAACCUAUUUAUUAGGAAAUAGCUAUAAUAUACCACCGCUACUGUCUGUCGAUACCGGCAUUCUGUACUGGCCGAUAAUCGAUUCAUAUUUUAGUGGUUCUUCGUUGCAAGAAUCACAUGCUCAAAUUUCUUUGUCAGGGUUUCGACCACAUGCUAGCACUCCAUCUGCUUCACAAACCAAUUCUCUACAGCUGAAUGAUAGUUUUAAGGAUAAGCUUGAUAAUAUACUUAGAGAAUAGGUUUAGAACCUAAGGGUAAAGCAUGUGUAUAUAAAAAAAUCAUACCCUAAUUACUUCAAUUUGAUGGCAUAUCCUCGUGGUUUUACUAUUCCAGAUUUUUUUACGUUUACAGGGGGAGAUGGUAGAUCCACUUCUGAGCAUGUCGAACAAUUUUUAGCCCAAUGUUGUGAUAUUGGCACAUCAGAUGUUUAUAGGAUAAAUUAUUUUUGUUCCCUUUGUCCGGUACUGCAUUUACUUGGUUUACAUCGCUUGCUCCUAAUUCUAUUUCAACAUGGGCGCAACUUGGGCAAAACUUUCAUGAGUAUUUUUAUUGUGGUGAAACUGAACUUCAACUUUCAGAUUUAACUAUGGUUAGGCAGAAAUAUAAUGAGCAUGUUUAUGAUUAUAUUAAGAGGUUUAGAGAUGUCAAAAACCAAUAUUUUAGCUUGACCAUAGCCGGAAAGGAUUUAGCCGAUCUUGCCUUUUCGGGCCUGCUUGCUCAUAUUAAGGAUAAAUUAGAAGGACACAAAUUUUUAGAUGUUGUUCAAGUUUUGCAAAAAGCUUUGGCGCUGGAAAACCGGACUAAGGAGAUUAAAUAAUAUAGCCGGUUUAAACAUAAUACUGAUAAUGAGAAGGAUAACCAUGUAGGUAAGGCCUUAGAUUAUGAUAGUAAUUCGGCUAGUGUAGAUGACGUUAAUAUAUGUGUAGCCGAAUAGGUUCAAGUGCCAAAGUCAAAACCUUUUGCAUGUUCUGCUUUGAAACCCACACAUAGUAGAAGAGACGAAAUUAAAUACACUUUUGAUGUUAGCAAGUGUGAUAGAAUUUUUGAUAUGUUACUACAAAAUAAAUUAAUUAGAGUGAGAGAGGGACAUGUAAUUCCACCUCCAGAAGAAUUGGGUAGAAGGGCUUAUUGUAAGUGGCACACUUCUUUUUCUCAUUAUACUAAUAAUUGUAAUGUAACGUAUUUCAUCGACCGGUGCAAUCAACCAUUAAUGAAGGACGAUUGACUUUUAAAAAAGUUUCUAAGAUGAAGCUCAAUAGUGACCCUUUUCCUAUCAAUGUGGUCAAGCUUGAGAGUAAGAAAAUUCUUAUUCGGUCGGAUCAGACGGAGUAUGCACUAGAAAAAAUGUUGUUGAUGAUAGUGCUCCUCCAAGGAUGAUCAAACAAAAAAAAUUCAAAAAUAGGAGUCUGGAAAGUCAAUGAAACGGGACAAGCUCCAAGGCCAAAGCCGACAGUUAGCAUGUUGUUGGAAAAAUAUACCUCACGCAAGGCCAACAAUGUGUUUAACCGGCUCGGAGGUAAUAAGCGUGCUAGAUCUCGUUCUGGAUCUAACAUUCAUGAGCUAUGGCAAAGAAAUUCAUAUGACCAGCAAUCAUAUUUUGCAAUGGAGCCGACAUAUUGGGGUUGUGCACCUCCUAUGUAUCCGCAAUCUCCUACACGGGGUUUAAUCCUUGGGCUCCAUAUUCUACAGGGCCAGCAUGCUAUUUUCUGCCGGGAUGGAUUCCGCCGAGGCCUAUGUUCAGACCGGAGAUGCACGAGAAAAGGGCUCAGUUCAAUGAGGAGGCUAGAUCACAUAACGCCAUUGAGAUUCCAGCAAGUCGAUCACAAGUGCAAUGCAUAUGGAAAAAACUAUAAAAGUGACCACAAUCGCUAUGGGUGCCGGUGAAGCGUGCAGAACUGAAACCAACAAAAAGUUCAGAUGAUUUAAAUGUUGCUCAUGGUCCGAAAAUUGGGUAAUGCCAGUUAGGUGAAGGUGUUGCCAAUAGUACACAAACUAGCAGUAAUGUUCAAUCAGAACCGGUCCCAAAGGAGGCCAUUGAUACAGACGAGAAUAGUAAUGGUGCGAAGCUGCCGCAAACUGGUCGGUCUAAUCAAUCUUUUCAGACUAAUUUGAGUCAUAGCAUGCAAGCAUAUGGUCAGACAAGGCAUUUGUUGUAUCCUCACGUGCUAGUCAAAAUUAUAAAUCGGCAAGUUCACAUGCUAAUUUAAUCACGGGGAGUUGUUAUCCAUGAACGUCCAAAGGUUUCAAGUCUAGCGCUAGUACAUCUACAUGUUGGGGUUCAAGCAACGGACAUAGCCAGAAAUUUAAAGCUAGCCGUGCAUAUAAUCAUCAGAGAAUUUUUCGGCCAGGGAAAUACCUCAGUACAGGUUGAAGGACCCGCGGGGGAGGGGAGGAGGGGUAGAAUUAAGUCAGUCGCGCCAGGAACUAAACCGGUACUUUGGUGGUGCCCAAUGGGACAUACAAACACUCAGAAGCGCCGUGUACAGAGACUGCGUGCAUUGGAAACAAAGGAAGGAACAGCCGAGAAGAAGUGCGAUGAAUGGUUCGAUAAAGAUAAACCAAUGGUGCUGAUAAAAACUUGGAAGGAGAAGCGCAUUGCGGCGGAGGAAAAUGAAAAUACUGAUGACACGAUUGCUGCUGAAAAUUCAGAGAAUGAUAGAGAUGUACCAACAGAUAUGGAUGUUAAUAUGGUGUUCGCGUUGCCCACUGAAUUUCAUGCUCCCGAGGCUGAAGUUGUUGAGCUUAUUCUUGGUCUAAAAAAUGCUACAUUUGAGAAACCGAAGAAGCACGAACAACACCUAAAGCCAUUUUUUAUCAGGGGUAUCAUUGAUGUGGGAGAAGUUAACAAAACCUCUCAUGAAAAAGACUUGGCGAUAUAUCAUUCCAAGUAUCGCCAUAAGCAAAUUUGGCCGGUAUACUAUUUGAUAUAUCGCCCAGAGAAAAUUUGGCCAAUCUGCUCUUUGGACAUCGCCCUAGGCUAUAUGGCCAGUGAGGUUAUCCACAUCGAGAUAUUUAAUAAUGUUUUUCGGGAAUACAAUUGUAUCAAAAACAAGAAGGCAUGUGUUUAUGACAUAAUUUGGCUACUAGGUUUUUUAUGUGCCAAAUUAAUUAAAUGACCAUGGUUAGAUUACUGGUUGAUAAAUAAAUUUUCCCUUUAUGUUUAAUUCAAAUACAGGGCUAGAUCAUAGUACAGUACAUACGCUGUAGCGGUCCUGGGGCAUGAGCAAUGAAGUCAUGGACAUGAAGGUGCAACAACACAAGGAUAAUUUAAUCAUUAUUAUCUGGUGUGAUAGCCACAUGUCUGAAAUAUUUUAUUAUUGAUAAGGCAAAGAGUGUAUAUGGCCAGAAAAUGUAGCCAUGCAGGUUAGAUGAAUGAUUCAAAACGUCAAAGUACUAUACAUGAUAGCCCAAUUAAGAUGACAUGAUUAGAUAUUAAUCGGUUUAGAUUUUAGAGUUCUAUUCGUAUACGCCAAGUACUGCCUUGUAUAGGUUAAAGUCCAGCGUGCCUUAUAUAUAAAGCCACGGCCGAUUGAAGAAAAAAACCAACAAUCGAUCUAUUCAAUACAAACACAUUACUUUUAAUCGCUCGUUUCUUUUCAUAGUUUCUUCCUGCCGUGCCUGGCAGCCCGAGGGCUUGGUGAUCUUUGUUGUUUUGCAUCGAAAAACGGUCGGUUUUUCUCCAUGAAAUCGAGGGAUUCUUUGUUGCUUUGCCCGGAAAGUAAUCGUUCGUCGUCACGAAAGCACGACAAAUAUCCUGGUGUUGUGCGGCGAUUUCACGUGCCAACAACACCAAUCACCGAGAAAAAAAUAUGCCCUCGCCUCCUUUUUUUUCCGAUGAGGAACGUUUUUAUUAACUCAAAAUGUUGCCCUCACCUCCUGCUGUCCAUGAAGCUUUCUUUGAGUUCUCCAUCUGACAUUGAUCACGAUUCCAAAGGCUGUGUGCCAUUUGGUUGUGUCCAUGCCAGGAGCUGCAUUAGGCUUCAGACAAAACUCCACAGUGCACUCACUAUCCCAAACUGCAUCUAAGGAGUAGAAUGAAGUUUCCGGAAAACUUCGAUCACAAAACCAUGUUACAGUGCAUAGGCUGUUGCCAUUUGGUUUUGUCCUUGCCAAGACCUGCACUAUUCUUCAGAGAAACUCGACAGUGCAGCGCACAUCAGUGAAGCUUUGAUCAAAACCAUCAGGUUCAUUCAUGACAAAAGGGGUGAUCAUUCAGUUUCCCAGACAAAGAAAUGAGACGGACAACGAAACUUUGCAUUGAACUCUGAAAGAUGAACACCAUGGGCAGGCGUUUAUUCAAGGCAACAAAUGCGGCUCGCAGGAACAAGCAAGCACUGCACGACCAGACCAAAUGAAAACUACGGUAGACAAAUCAUAACGCAGCUGACACUUCACCCUCCCGCUGAAUGCGCCUCUUCACGCCUCGACGCACCAAUGGAACUGCAGCAGCCUGGAUUCAAGAAAAAACAUACAACAACAAAAAACAGAAGUGAGAAUUGUGCGGAAAUGGACGCUGAUAUACAUUGCUCUCGGAUAGUCAGAGAACUUGCCAAGCUGCAGUACUUCAGGGCGUAGAACAUCUCCAGGUAACGGCGAGUCUCGCGUCUCUCCAGGUUGCUCACGUACUUCCAGAAUCCAUACACACCGGUCAGAGUCAUCAGCCUCUCUGAGUACAGCUUCCAGGCGUACCUGAUCAUUCCAAAAAUAUAGGAUCAGUAUUUGUUCAGAGACGGUACUUUAGUUGGAACUAUUUGGCAUGACUAUAACAGAAUACAUACUUCUCAUAAAUUCUCUUCAGGCCUCCUCCUUCAGACAUUUUUUCCCAGUAGCUUGGAUCCACACCUUUUUGCACUCUCAAAGAAGUUGACCAAGAUAUCAGCCUUGUCUGUAUGGCAAGGAUCGAUGUGCAGAUCAGACACGCCAUCCAGGAUUAUUUCAGCAAGGCCACCAUGGUAUGUCUCAAUUGUCGGCAAACCACAUGUCGUGGCCUCAAUGACAGUCAGGCCAAAAGCUUCAUAAAACGCGGGCUAGAGACAAUUGAAAUAAGGGUUUACUCUAGUGCAAACUCAAGGCUGUUCUUUCCAAAUGUUGAUUACAAUAGAAUAUGAAAUGGCAUGGUGUAUACGUGCACAAAUGCUCCCUUGGUAUCACUCGCAUAUGUAGCGGUAUAGCUCACCAUUGCGAACACGGCUCAUCUGAGCUGAGAUCCACUUGAUAUGGCCCUUCAGAUUGUACUCGUCAAUGAGCCUGUACAGUACAUCCUCUUGAACUCAAACCUAUUCCUCCCUAGUCCGAGUCCCUAUCCUUUGCAAUGAACCAAAACUCGUUCAGUUUAACUUGACGUUAAUUCCACAUUGCUAAGAUUCUGGAGCAUCGGCAAAUGGUCUUCAGUGACCGUACUUCCUUGCCUGACGACUGGUACGUAGAAGUGGCAUACUUGUAGUGAUGCCGUCCUCUUUCACUGGAAAGGAACAAUAGCAUCAGGCCAACCAACCAAAUCCCAGGAUCAUUGUAAACUAAGUGCUCGUUACAUGGCUGUUGCAUUUCCUAAUACCUCCCACUCCCAGCGUCUUCGAUGUAGUGCAGUUUACACUGGCCGUCCAGUUUCACAUGUAAUACGAAAUAAACUUUGAGUUGACUUGUGCACUAGCGCUAUUAAUCCACUAUACUCGUUGCAAAGAAAAUAAUCUGUAUAUUAGCCACCUUUCCUCGCUCUCAAUUCUGAAGCUUUAUUUGAGAUCUCCAAGAGUGUCCCUUCCCUCCCAUUUAUAAACAAGACUAACUUAUCAACUUUAUUUCCAUUUAUUACUUUGAAAUAAUAUGAUGCAAAGGCUGCAACAAUAUAUACCUGGCAUUUGUGUGCGCACCAUGCCAAUAUAUAACUGGUUGUUAGUUGUUGCUGUGGCGCAGGGCAACCAUUGAUGAGAUGUUGGUACAGCAGUUACUGGAAGCGAGGUGGGGGUGUUUUGUCUUCCAGCAAAAUCUCCUCUGGCCGGCUAGUUUUGUGUUAGUGGGUUGUUAGAGAACACAAGGUCUAGUCUAUUGGCUAGAUUAGGCAGCAACAACGUUUCCUUUGGUUCUGCUUUAGGGGUGAUUGCCCCAGGUUUGCCUUUGGUUAGACAACAACAUUGGCGUGCGAGCGGGCAAUUCCUUCUUAAAGGUAUUGUCUGGAGUUGUGCGCCCUUUGAGUGGCACACGUCGCUCGAAUGGUACAUUAUGGUCCAGGGUCAUAGGGUUUGAGGAGAUGUUACGACAAGGUAGGUCCAAUGGGCAUGGUCUCUAGUUUUCCUUUCUUUUACUAUAAGCCGAUUUAUUGGGCAUCAAAGCUUGGCAUUGUUUGAUAUUGUUUCAAGCAAUUCAUGAUUUAUUUUAGUAGUAUGCAUUAAUCAAUGCAGAGGCCAAGAAUUAAACUCCUUUUUAAAAAGAAUGCAAAAUAGGGGCAAAAAUGGCUACCAACGAAAUUUUGUCAUUGAGAUCAAGUCUAGGUAUACAUCAUCUAACUCUCGACAUGAUUUUGUAGUAAUAUAACUGUAACUAAAUUGAUUGGAAAAAACUUGAGUGUAUCACAACAUUAGAUAACAAGACACUAAAACAAUCAAAGGAAAAAACAAUAAUAUGUGGCACAUACAAAAAGAAUAAGGGUGCCUCUAUUUGCAUAUGGACAUAACAUUAUAGAAUUUUUACUUGUUUGUUUUGGCCAAACUGUACAAUAGAUCAGCUUGAAACUUUAAGGUCAAAAUAAAUUAGUACUACAAUGUGUAAAACUGAUUUCAGAAAUUUCUAAAAUGAUAGGAUUGCACCUGAUACUAGAAAUGCCUUCUUUCAACAACUAGAGUGUUUGUGUAAACCAUUGAUCAUGCUUGCAAUAGUUUCACUUCUUGUAAUCGUUAUCACAAGUUAGGCAACUAAAAUGAUGAACACAAUGGAGUGCAUUUAUUUGAGGAAACAUUUAUGCAGAAAGUAAGAACCAGAAAGCACUACACAAACCUUGCAUAAGUCCAAGACGAAAAAGUACAAACCUCACGACAGACCAACUACGAUAAACUAUGAAAACAUAGCCGACACUUUUUUAAAGACUGCAUAGCAACACUUGACUUAUAAAGGCUGCCACUCUUCAUGCCCCGCAUCAGUGAUGGAGCUAGCCCGUGCGUGGACCAUAGACAAAACAAAAAGGCAUGUCGUUGAUGGGCAUUUGGCCAGUAAAAUGGAGGAUCAAUUCUUCAUCUCCCGCUAUAAUGUACUGAAAGUUUUUGGGCAGAGCCUGGGCAUCUGCUCACGGUCGUCGGGAGGUGACUCCGCCAGUGCCCCACAUAGUUAGUUGUCAGAAUUGUGGUUGUCGAUAGACAAAGGAACAACCAUGGGCCACCUCUGGAUUCAACAUAAUAAUGCAAAUUAUAAGCAAAGCAUGUUAAAAUGGAUAUUAAUAGUCAUUGUUCAUUGAAAAUUAAAUAACUUAUCAAGUUGUGGUAACUUAGAGUAUCGAACAUCGAGUAGGCGUUGCCACCUUGGGAUUUUAGUUCUUGUUGUUCUUUACGAAAUAGAAAUAUGCAAUGCAAAUUAUUGAAAAUUGGGAUUGUUGUAGUGGAUACCUCAAUAUGGAUUUCUUGUAAUCUUAAAAUUCUGAAAUUGGAUUCCAACUUCUUUUUAAGAUCUUAUGAUCAAUAUCAUGAAUAUUACUUUAAAUUAAAAUUAGUAUUUUAAAUUUUGCAAUAUUCUUCAUCAGCUCCAGCAAUGAGCACUAGUAGAAAAGAGGGCUUUGGUCCACCCCGGUUUAGCCCAUUAGUCCCGGUUCAGUCUGGAACCGGGACUAAUGGGGGCAUUAGUCCUGGUUCGUGCGCCCAGGGGCCACGUGGGCCAUUUGUCCCGGUUCAUCUGGACCUUUUAGUCUCGGUUGGUGCCACGAACCGGGACUAAAGGGUGCGAUGCCCAUUAGUCCCGGUUCGUGGCACCAACCGGGACUAAAGGGUUAGACCACUGGUGGAAAAAAGGUCUUUGGUCGCGGUUCGCAACUGCCAUUAGUCGCGGUUGCGCAACCGCGACCAAAUAAGCGCGACUAAAGCCCCCCACCUUUAGUCGCGGCUGCUUAAGAACCGCGACUAACGGCCCGUCCACGUGGGCGCCAGGCGGCCGUCGGGGCGGAGGACCUUUAGUCGCGGUUCUUCUGGCCAACCGCGACUAAAGGCCGCCACAGGUUUAGGGUUUUAGCCCCCCCCCCUAAACCUGUUUUCUGUUUAAUUUGUAUUGUUUUAUUUCUUUUGUGCUUUAUUUUAAUUUUGAAGGAGUUUCAUAUAUUCUACGGUACUAUUAGAACCAAAAAGAAUUCAAGAGGAAUAUACAAUAUAUAUUCAAUAUCAUCGGAUGACCAUAUACAAUUUUGAACAAGUUUCCAUACAUGAUUUAAUGCAUAUAAAGUUCUACGUCCUCGUAAUAGUGUUCUCCUUUAGGAUGGAGGACUUCCCUGCUGAACCAUCCAGCUAGUUCCUCUUGAAGUGGUCGGAAGCGAGCUUCUGGACUAAGCAUCCACCGGAGGUUAUUCCUCUGAGCAUUGGUAUCACUCGGAACCCGCUCAGAGGUGUAUCUCCGGAUCAUCUCACAGACAUAGUAUCCACAUAGAUUGGUCUCCGGUGGCUGAAUAUCCCCAGCAUUCUUAGCCUUUAACAUUUUGAAUUCUAGCUCUUUUUUGAAUUCACCGACCUUUGUAUCUACGAACCGUCUCCAAACCCUACGAGGCAAAGAAAAUUAAAUGAACAAGAGAGUUAUUAAUUAGUUACUUGAUAUUAGGAAAUGAACGAAAUAGGGCGAUCGAUAUAGAGCGCAAAUGAAUGAAAAUAAUUACUUCUGCAGCAUUCUUCUCAUGCCGCCCCAAAGCUUUGGAUCCAUAUUCACAGAGUCGUGGACGAGACAUUCUGAGGUGUUAACUUUAAUUACUAGCAGAAUCCAGUGGAACCUGCGGACACGAUACAUGCACAGUACGUCAUGCAUAACUCAUCGAUUAGCCGGCCACAUACCAUGCAUGGAGUAAACAAAAGAGAAUGUGCUCAAGACAGAAACACUCACUCAAAAUGGUAAGGAAAUAGAAUAUCACUUUUGAGUUCCUGCUUUGUAAGAAACUGCCACAGGUCUGCCUCCACGUCGGCGGGGUAACGCUCCAACACAUGUCCAUUAACGAUGUGUGGGUCAAUGAACCCAACAUCAUGGAUGUUCCUUACUCUGCAUUCCUUAAUCUUCAUUCUGCAUGUAUAAUAGCGGACACAACAAUAUAGUUAGGACAUAUAUAUAGUGCAGGUAAUAUGAACGAGAUGGGGUAGAAAUUAAUAAAUCACUUACAGAACGUAGCAACUGAUGAUAGAUUUAUCGAGCUCGCGCAGAUUGAAAAGCUGGAACAAUUCACUCAGUUCAAUUUGUACAUAGUAAUGUUUGAAGUGAUGCUCAUGUCUAACUUCCGCAUAAAUAUAUUCUUUGGCGUUUUUAUUUUUUAUGUAACCCUUGUACCAUUUCAGCAGACCUUUCAUUUGUGGAGGUAGAUCCUUUUCCUGCGCAGGCUCGACGAGAGGCCCAUUCUUGACAUAUGUAAUUACUACCUCCUUCACUGGCGCCUCAUCAAGGCCUAACAGUUCACGAAGAGUAAUACCUAAGUUGGCCGCUUGUUCUCUGGCACUCGUUACAGUCAAUCCCUGUGCUGCCGCAGCUUGUAUGAUCUCGGGGGCAUCCGGACAGAAGGCUUCCACUAUAAGCGGGGCAAUCGAUUGUUUACUUUGUUUCCCGAGCUGGGCAACUUGUUUCCCGCUUUUUUUACUUUCGGCCUUCUCCCGCUCUUUGUUCUCCUUGAACAUGAGUGCCUGCCUGCGAAGUUCACGUGCAUAGUCGUUAGGCAGAUUCUUCGCGGCUUGGGACGGUGUGCUCAAAAAUGACUUAGCCCACUUCUUUUGCUCAUCAGAAAAUACUGGCUUGCGCUCGGGCUCUCUUUUCUUCUUGCAGUCCGCCUUCCAUUUCUCCAAAUCAGCAGCCGCGGUCGCGUCGACUUCCUCGGCACUACGUUCCCAAGGCCUUGUGGGGAGAGGCUUCAGUGAUGGCUCCGGUACCUUUGUGGUCUUAGGUACAUAAGGGUCCGGGUUAAUAAUCCAGGACUGCUUCUGCUUCUUUGCCGGAGGUGGAUUGGGGGGCGGCGUCUGAUCACCCGCCGGAUGAGGACUGGGGGGCGGCGGCUGAUCACCCGCCGGACGUUGUGGACUGGGGGGCGGCGUCGGCUGACGUGACGGAGGUGUAGGUGAACCGCCGCCACCACCACCACCACCACCACCGCCACCGCCACCACCACCACCGUAGGGGGGUGGACUUGUUGUCCUUGGCGCCUCUCCUGGAAACUUGAUAAACUUCUUUUGCCAUAGAAUGAAAUGGCGCUUGACAUCUCCAAGUCUUUUCUCCCCUUCAGGUGUAGCAAUGUCAAUCUCCAGGUCCUCAAACCCUUGGACUAUGUCCUCCACCGUGACACGAGCAUAGCCAUCUUGAAUGGGGUUGUUGUGGUGGAGUGCUCCAGGUAAACAUGGUAAAGCACUGCCGAUGGCUACCUUCAUGGACAUGUUCCCGAUAGGAUAAUACAGAUGACAUUCUUUCAUCUCCUUUAUAUCGUCCACGGGGUAGCGAGGAGGCUCCGGUGAAGUAAUUUCGACCACCAGAGGCUCCGGUGCAGUAAUUUGGACCACCAGAGGCUCCGGUGCAGUAAUUUCGAUCGUCGGUGCAUCUGCACCAGCCGGUGGGGCCUCCGUGGAAGCCACGCUACUUCUCAGCUGCUGGCUUCCGAGAUCCGCUGGAUGAUCUUCAUGCUGCACCCGAGCUGCAUCUCUUUCGGCUACUAGUACACUCAUGGUUUUCUUCAUCACAUCCAUUUCCGAUGCCAACCGCGCCACAACAUCUGCUUCCCGAUCCAUCUUUCUCUUACGGCUUCUGUAACCGUAUGGGUCAUCGUUCUGGGGGAACCCUAUUUUCCACGGAAUGUGCCCCAUGCCUCGUACACGUCCUCCGUGUUCAGGAUUCCCGAGGGCUUUUGUCAGCGCGUCGUUCUCUCUGUUGAACUUGAUCUUCCCCUGUUGAGCAUCCCUCAUUGCGUUAAUAAGGGAUUGGGUGGGUUUAAUUAAUUUGCCCCGGUAAACACACUCCCCUGUCUCCGGGUUCAGCGUUCCCCCAUGCCCGUACCACCAGCUUUUGGCCCUUGGGUCCCAUCCCUCCGUACCUGGAUGGAUUCCUCGCGCCCUCAGCUCGUUCUCCAUCUUCUCCAACCUAGGCACCCAAAUGCGAUACCCUCCUGGCCCCAUAACAUGAUUGUACUCCUUCUUAGCCGCAUUUUCCUUAUUUUUUUUUGAUAUUUGAAUGAACUGCUCCGAUUUCUUUUGCUUCACAAAUUCUGGCCAAUCAUGUUUCAGUUUCUCAUAUUGUCCUUUGAAAUCCGGAGUCUUGUUCUGCUUGACAAAGUCAUGGGCUAGAUUUUGCUUGAAUUUCCGGAAUGCGUCGGCCAUCUUAUGAAGAGCGAACUGUUUGACUAGCCUCCUCCUCUCCUUGUUUUCCUCAAUCUUGUUACCCUCCUCAUCGAAUUUGUUGUAUUCCGGAGGUAGAACGAAAUGUUCCAUAAGCUUCUUGAAGCAAUCUUUUUUUGUUCUCUUAUCGACAAAAGUGAAACCAUCAAUUCGUGCCUUCUUUGGCUCAUUCCACUCCUGGACGGUGAUCGAGACGUUGUCUCUAACAAUGGCUCCGCAUUGGCUGACAAACUUGGUGGCGUUCUUGCGGGGCUCCAGCGGCCUGCCGGUUGCACUGUCGACAACCUCGAUGGUGCAUGUUUCUCCUUGUUUCAUCGUCUUGGUUGCGCCACGCUUUGACGACGUACUCGAUUGUUUCGACGAUCUGGCCGAGGGCUAAAAUAAGAAAGAGUCGCGCGCGUUAGUACACACAUAUUUAUUCAAAUCAGUUAGUUUGUAUCACCAGAGGCUCAAUGUAUAUAUAUACCUCGGUGCCGGAGGUGGUUGCUACUUCCAUUUGAAGAUCGUCGUUUAUCGACGUUUGUUCGGCAUCAUCUUGCUGACGGCGCCCUUCAUCUUCACCGUCAAGGUUCAGAUAAGAAGAGAUAUCAUCUUCUUCUUCUCCGGUCGGCACAUAUAGAAUAUCGCCGUUUAUGAUGCCGAACAUAUGUGCUUCACCGUUCGGAUCAUAGUUGUCCAUAAUCGGGUCAGCUCUAUCGUCCGCCAUUAUGUCAGUCCUGAAAACAUGUAGUAAAAACAAAUUAAUUAAGUGAAGAAGGGGGGCGGUGGCGGUGGCGGUGGCGAAAGGGCGGUGGCAAAAGGAGGGGGCGAGGAAGGGGUGGGAGAGGGUGUCGCGGUAGAGCGCGAGACGGGGCGGCAGACGACGGCGUCACGGAGAGGGAGGAAAUUCCAAUUUGUCAUGUCGCGAACCCAAAAUGGGCCGGCCCAGGUGAGCUACGUCCUGUGAGACGCGUCGACUUUUUGAUGCAAAGAGCGUCACACAGGGCUGGAUAUGACGCUGUCUGCGUCAAACUGUCGAGCGAACGCACCUACGAGGGUUCCCAACCCUUUUUUUAUUUUCAUUUCUUUUCCUUUCUUUUUCUGUUUCGUUUUUCUUUUCUUUUUUUGUUUAUUGUUCUUUUUCUUUUUCUUUUUAAAAAAUGUUCUCCUUUUAAAAAAUGUUCUAUUUUUCAAAAAUGUUCAUAUUUUCAAAAAAUGUUCGAUUUUCACAAAUUUGUUCGUGUUUUCAAAUUUUGUUCCGGAGUUUCAGAAAAUUGUUUGUGUUUUCAAUUUUUUUUGCCGGCUGUAGCCAACUAUCCAUUCGUCCUGCAAGGAAGGGGAACAGGGGACGAGGUGGGAGAAGCUCACGGCGAGGAGGGACUCCUUGGCGGAGAGGCGCUCCGUCUCGCGGGCGUAGCUGGUAGCGGGCUCCCACGCCUGUGCGUACACGUCGUCCCGCCGGGGACGGACGGGUGGCGGCCUGGAUGAGCAGCGGGACAGACGGGCGGCGGCCCGGAUGAGCAGCGCGGCGGCCGGGGUCGGACAGGCGGCGGCCUGGAUGAGCAGCACGGCGGCCGGGACGGACGGUCGGCGGCCCGGAUGAGCAGUGCGGUGGGCGAGGGCGACGGCGGGCGGCGUCGAGGGCGAGGGCGACGGCGGGCGGCGUCGAGGGCGCGGCAGAGACGAACAGGCGGGAAUCGGAGAAGACGAGAAUCGGACCUCGUAUUUAUAGCCCCCCCCCUUUAGUCGCGGGUUGCCUGCCCAACCGCGACUAAAGGGUUUUUGGCAGGUUUUUUGCGUUCCCGCGCCCCCACCUUUAGUCGCGGUUGGUCUGGCCAACCGCGACUAAAGGGUAACCUUUAGUCGCGGGUCUCGUCGCCAACCGCGACUAAAGGCCGCCGCAGGUUUAGGGUUUCACCCCCCCCCCAAACCUGUUUUCUGUUUAAUUUGUAUUGUUUUCUUUUUAAUUUGUAUUGUUUUCUGUUUAAUUUGUAUUGUUUUCUUUUUAAUUUUUAUUGUUUUCUGUUUAAUUUCAUGUAUCAUCAGUGGUAUCUCGAAUCAUUCGAAAAUGGACACCAAACACAUCACGGGUAAUAUAAUUCACAUGAUCCAUUCAACAAAGUUUGCUACAAUAAAUUAUUACACAUCAUUUCUUCCCUUGUGUCCCUGCUUGCUUACGAUUGUGCCGUAUCCAUGGAGCAUCCUCAUCAUUUAACUUAAUGCUUGGGUCGGUGUUCACUUUGAAGGGCGGAAUUUCAGCAAACAUAUUAUAAUCUUCUGACAUGUCUGUCUUGUCCUCCACUCCCACGAUGUUUCUUUUCCCUGAAAGAACAAUGUGGCGCUUUGGAUCAUCGCAUGAUGUACGGAUCGUUUUCUUAUCUUUCCGUUUCCUCGGUUUGCUACUCAUGUCCUUCACAUAGAAAACCUGAGCGACAUCUUUCGCUAGGACGAAUGGUUCGUCAAGGUAACCAAGAUUGUUGAAAUCCACCAUUGUCAUUCCGUAUUGCUGGUCCACCUUUACCCCACCUCCUGUUAGCUUGAACCAUUUGCACCGGAACAAAGGGACCUUAAAGGAGGGUCCAUAGUCAAGUUCCCAUAUCUCCUCUAUGUAACCAUAAUAUGUGACCUUUUGCCCAUUCUCGGUUGCUGCAUCAAAGCGGACACCACUGUUUUGGUUGGUGCUCUUUUUAUCUUGGGCGACCGUGUAAAAUGUAUUCCCAUUUAUCUCGUACCCUUGGAAAGUCGUUAUAGUCGAAGAUGGUGUCUUGGCCAACAUGUACAGCUGAUCUACAACAUCAUUGUCAUUCAUUAAAUGUUUUCUCAACCAACUGCCGAAAGUCUCCAUGUGGGCCUUCCUAAUCCAGGAUUCAGGCUUCCCCGGGUUGUCCGAGCGUAAAAUAUUCUUGUGUUUCUCAAAGUACGGAGCCACCAAGCUGGAAUUGGUCAGUACAGUGUGGUGUGCUUCAGUCAGAGAAUGGCCGUCCAUACAUAUCGUUGAUUUCCUUCCGAUCGUGCCUUUUCCACUUAGUCUCCCCUCGUGCCGCGAUCGAGGAAGACCAAUCGGCUUAAGGUCAGGAACAAAGUCAACACAAAACUCAAUUACCUCCUCAUUUCCAUAGCCCUUGGCGAUGCUUCCUUCUGGCCUAGCACGGUUACGAACGUAUUUCUUUAAUACUCCCAUGAACCUCUCGAAGGGGAACAUAUUGUGUAGAAAUACAGGACCGAGAACGAAAAUCUCUUCGACUAGGUGAACCAGGAGGUGCGUCAUAAUAUUGAAGAAGGAUGGCGGGAACACCAACUCGAAACUGACAAUACAUUGGAUCACAUCGUUCUGUAACCGUGGUAGAACUUCUGGAUUGAUUACCUUCUGAGAGAUUGCAUUGAGGAAUGCACAUAGCUUCACAAUGGCUACUCGAACAUUUUCCGGCAGGAGCCCCCUCAAAGCAAUCGGAAGCAAUUGCGUCAUAAUCACGUGGCAGCCGUGAGACUUCAGGUUUUGGAACUUUUUCUCCGCCAUGUUUAUUAUUCCCUUUAUAUUGGACGAGAAUCCAGACGGGACCUUCAUACUGCUCAGGCAUUCAAAAAAGAUGACCUUCUCUUCUUUGGUCAGAGCGUAGCUGGCACGACCUUGAAACCAUUCCGGAUGCCGGUCAUCAGGGUCUUUCAAACGUUGUUGGUCCUGCCGUGCUUCCUUUGUAUCAUUUGUCUUCCCAUACACGCCCAAGAAGCUUAGGAGGUUCACGCAAAUAUUCUUCGUAACGUGCAUCACGUCGAUUGCAGAGCGGACAUCUAGGACUUUCCAAUAUUCUAGCUCCCAGAAUAUAGAUUUCUUCUUCCACAUGGCUGCGUGCCCGUCAGCUCCCUUCAGAACUGAUUGUCCGCCAGGACCCUUUCCAAAGAUGACUUUCAAAUCCUUGACCAUAUCAAAUACCUCAGCACCAGUGCGUUCCGCAGGCUUCGGCCGGUGAUCUGCCUUGCCGUUGUAAUGCUUGCCUUUCUUUCUUACUGGAUGAAUUUUCGGAAGAAAUCGACGAUGCCCAAGGUACACGUUCUUCUUACAAUUUGGCAAAUGUACACUUUCAGUCUCAUGUAAGCAGUGCGUGCAUGCAUUGUAUCCCUUAUUUGACAGUCCCGAAAGGUUACUAAGAGCAGGCCAAUCGUUGAUGGUUACGAAAAGCAACGCUCGUAGGUCAAAUUCCUCUUGUUUGUGCUCAUCCCACACACGGACACCACCCCACAGCUGUAAAAGUUCAUCAACUAAUGGCCUUAGGUACACAUCGAUGUCGUUGCCGGGUUGCUUCGGACCUUCGAUGAGCGCUGGCAUCAUAAUGAACUUCCGCUUCAUGCACAACCAAGGAGGAAGGUUGUAGAUGCAUAGAGUCACGGGCCAGGUGCUAUGGCUGGAGCUCUGCUCGCCAAAAGGAUUCAUGCCAUCCGUACUUAGAGCAAAUCUUAUGUUCCUUGCGUCAGCUGCAAAAUCUUUGAACCAUCUGUCGAUCUUUCUCCAUUGCGUUCCAUCUGCGGUGUGUCUCAACUCCCCGUCCGACUUACGGUCCUCUUUGUGCCAUCGCAACAACUUGGCAUGCUCUUUGUUCCUGAACAGACGUUUCAACCGUGGUAUUAUAGGAGCAUACCACAUCACCUUGGCGGGAACCCUCUUCCUGGGUUUCUGGCCCUCAACAUCGUCACCAGGGUCAUCGCCUCUGAUCUUAUAACGCAAUGCAGUGCAUAUCGGGCAUUCAUUCAAAUUCUCGUAUUCACCGCGGUAGAGGAUGCAGUCGUUGAUGCAUGCAUGUAUCUUCAGAACCUCUAAACCUAGAGGGCAGACAACCUUCUUUGCUUCGUACGUACUGGCGGGCAACUCGUUAUCCUUUGGAAACAUAUUCUUCAACAUUUUCAGCAAGUUUUCAAAUGCCGAGUGAGCUACACCUGCCUCUGCCUUCCAUUUCAGCAAAUCCAGUGUGCAGCCCAGCUUUUUCAGACCAUCAUCGCAUCCGGGGUACAGCGCCUUUCUGUGAUCCUCUAACAUGCGAUCCAAAUUCUCCCUCUCCUUUUCAGUUUCGCAGCGUCUCCGUGCAUCAGCAAUGGUCCGACCAAGAUCAUCAACGGUAUCAUCACCGUGCCUCUUCUUCACCUUCCCCUUCACCUUCAGCAUCCUCCAUGAAAGUAUCACCGAAAUGAGCAAGAUAGCUUUCAUCGAUGAAAUCAUCCCCUUCUUCAUCUUCUUCCAUUAUAACCCCUCUUUCUCCAUGCUUGGUCCAACAAUUAUAGCUUGGCAUGAAACCGUGCCGAAGCAGAUGCAUGUGAACAUCUCUUGAGGAAGAGUAACCCUUCUGAUUCUUACAGAUAACACAUGGACAGAUAACAAAACCCCCCUGCUUGUUCGCAUUAGCCACUACGAGGAAAUCUUUCAAACCCGUAGUGAACUCGCCGGAGAGUCGGUUACCGUACAUCCAUUGCCGAUUCAUCUGCAUUAUUAUAAUAUAAAAUAUAUAAUUAACCAUCAUGCAUUUGUUAAACUAACUAGCUACAAACAAUAUAAAUUAAACAAUGAACUGCACACAUGCAUAUUUUAUCAAUGACACAUCAAAGGUUCAUCAAGUUGCUAACCGCGAUCGAGGAGUGUGGCUCCAACACUUCAUGUCAUGUUUGUUUCAUGCUCUUGGGGCAUUUCAUCAAACACCUUAUGUGCAUAAGAGGAACCAAAAGCAAACCUACACCCACUUGUGAAGAGAAUGGCUCCAAAUGGCUAAGUGUUGGCUGCUGGAUGAGUAUAUAUAGGGGAGGGGCUUUAGUUGCGGUUGGCCUGGCAAACCGUGACUAAAGGUGCCCGAAGGCCUUUAGUCGCGGUUGUCCUGGCCAACCGCGACUAAAGACCCUCACGUGCGCCAGCUGGCCAUCGAGCGCCCUGGGCCCAGGCCUUUGGUCGCAGUUCACCUCCAGAACCGCGACUAAAGGUCCCAUUAGUCGCGGUUCCUACAGCUUCGCGACUUAUGGGGCUGGACGGAAGCCUGUUUUUCCACCAGUGGACCUUUAGUCCCGGUUCAUGCCACGAACCGGGACUAAUGGGGUUUGAGGCAUUAGUACCGGUUCAUGGCACGAACCGGUACUAAAGGUCCCAUUUUCAAACUCCACCCCCCCCCCCCUUGGAUCGCCUUUUCAGGUUUUUUUUAAAAAAGAAAAUGAUGAAAAUGUCAAAAAAAAAUAAGUUUCCCAUGUGAUAUGUGGUCUAGUUGUUGGAAAAAUUUACAAAUAUGAAUUUCGACUUUAUUUGCAAAAUCUCUCUAGAAUUUAGUAAAAUGGGCAUAACUUUUGCAUACUGACUCGGAUGAAAAAAAAAUUAUAUGAAAAAUCAUCUACUCGAAAAGUUACAUCCAAAUUUAUUAUGGGGCUUUUAAAAUCUAGAGUGGAAAAAAUCGAAAAAAAUUCAAAUUAUGGUCAAACAAUGGUCAAACUAAUUAUUCUAGAAUAUUAGUGUUACUAAAUAAUUAUUUCAGUUAAUUUGAAUUUUGGUCAAAUCUGGUCAAACUGUGGUCAAACAAUGGUCAAACUAAUUAUUCAAGAAAUAUUAGUGUUACUAAAUAAUUAUUGUUUUUUAAAACAAUAGUUUCAAACUCAAACAGUGAAAUGUGUCACUUCAUGCUCACGCAAAAUUCCUGAGGGUUAAUAGGAUUGACAUCUUACUAUUGUCAGCAAAACAACAAGUGCAGACUUGGAAACGAGGGAGAAUAGAACCCGGAAGUUAAGCGUGCUCAGGCUGUGGGAGUGGGAGGAUGGGUGACCGUUUGGGAAGUUAGAUGAUUAGGAAUGAUGAGGGGUGAUUAGAGAUUAGAGGAUAAAUUGAGCAGUGAUGAGGGGUGAUGAUUAGAGAAUAGAGGUUAAAAUAAUUCAGAAAUUUGAAAAUAAAAAAAUCAACAAAAAAAUUUCAAAUUUUUUUUAAAAAAAAAUCAUAAAAUUUCCUUUAGUCCGGGUUGGUGUUACCAACCGGGACUAAAGGUGGAGCUCCACGUGGCCGCGACCUUUAGUCCCGGUUCCAAUUUGAACCGGGACUAAAGGGGGGAGGGAUUAGUAACGACCCUUUAGUCCCGGUUCAAGAACCGGGACUAAAGGCCCUUACGAACCGGGACUGAUGCCCCCUUUUCUACUAGUGGAGGGCCCCACCCAUUGUCGGCCAUGAUUGAUGUGCCAUAGAAAAAGGUGGAAGGAGGAUGCGGCUGCGUUGGAACAGGAAGACUGAUAAACCUCCGGCCUCUGCAUCGACUAAUGCACACAAUCAUAUAGUGUUUAUUAUUAGAAUAAUAUCUAGCAAAAAUAUGCAUUGAUCCCAAAAAAUUAAAUUAAAAAAGAAAAUGAAAACAAAAGACCAUCCACAUAGGACAUGCCUCACAACGACAUCUCCAAAAUCCUAUUGCAAAUCCUAUGACCAUGAACCAAUCGACUCGUGGAGGGAGAUGUGAACUAGCAAAGGGCGCAACACACCAAGAGAAUGUCUUCAAGAAGGAAUCACCUAUUGGAUGGCGUUGUUGGUUGGUUCAACCAUCCAUCGGACUAGGGGCUCUCACCGAGAAGCUGAUCUUUGCAUCAACCUUCAAUAAGGUAAUUAUGUGGAGAGGGUGUUGAUGCCUGAUCAAGUAGAAGGCUAAAUCAAGGGUUUGCUCGCUAAGAGAAUACAACCCCAUAGUCUCCAUCCACCACUCUAUCCGUCUGCUCACACAGAGCAAGCCAGACAAAGUAGAAAUCAUCAAAAGGGAAGAUGUCAUCGCAUACAUUCCAAUUGUUGUCGCACCACCAUCUCGUUGAUAGUUACUCUGUGUGCAAAGACGAUGUCUAUAGCAGUCGUUACUAGAUGCACUAUCCAGGUACAAAGGACAAGUCAUUGUAAAAGUCAGAUUAACUUAAGAACCGGUUUAAUAUAUUAUCUUGGUAGUUGAUAUCCAUUUAUCAAUUUAUGUACCCUUUACGUCUGUUAAGAGCCUCCCCUCAACGAGUUUUCUUUCGCUAGAAGUUUGAAGAAUGUCCUCUAUUCUCUCUGGGCUUUUAAAGAGCAGCUACCGAACGAUGUUCUCCAUUAAAAAUUUUGUAUUCCAGCAACCAUGAUUGCAUCCAAGGUUGCCAACUUGGAAGACAAAUUGUGUCUCUAGAAUUACUUAAUUGAUUGACACAUGGACUGCAAUUGAAACAAUUCUACACGAGAGGAGGGAAAGGAAUUGUACCAUAGUGUCAACGCACAUUGCAGUCAAUCCGGGAAACAUGACCAUGACCCACAAUUACUCGCAAAGUGUGAGAUCCUGGUUUAAUAGUAAUGAUAGACUACUCAUAUCAAUAAAAAAAUCCUUCUAUUUUGGGAUCUCAUUAACAAAGAACUCCAAAGUUAAGCAUGCUUAGCUUGGAGCGAUUUGAGGAUGGGUGACAGACUAAGAAGUCGGCAUCAGAUGCGCACGAGUGAGGGUAAAAUGCGCAGGAAAGACUAGUGUUAUUUUGUGGGGUCAGUCUAAAUCCCGCCAAACGUAUAGGCAAGGAACGGCGGCUGUAGUCGAGCGUUACAAUUGGUAUCAGAGUCAAACCUCACGGUAACACAGGCAUGCUUGGGUCAGGUGUGCGGGCAUAUGGUGCAUGGCAUGUGUGGCCCGUCGCGGCACAAGACAUGGCCCAUGUGCCAGACUGGACGCAUAGACGUAUACCAAGAGGGAAUGUUUCUGUGGGCCGAUGAGGACGUCGGUUCCAUUAACUGGGGUUGUAAGUGAGAUCCUGACUUAAUAGGAAUGACAGACUACUCGUUUAAGGAACUCUUUUUCUUCUGGAGCUCAUUCACAAAGAACUUCAAAGUUAAGCGUGCUUGACUUGAAGUAAUUUAAGGAUGGGUGACCAAUACAAAGUUGUUGCAUUCCUUGAAUCCUCGGUUUCCAUUGUGUAGCCGCUUAAAAAGGCACGGGUGCAUAAUGUUUGUUAAGUUCUGGUUGAAUUGUCAAAGAGGCCAACGAGUGACUUUCCCAGUGAGAUGAAACCACAACAAUUUUAUAUUUCUUUUAGCGGGUUCAUAAUGAUAUCUAUCUUGGGUGGGGCCUCUUCACCACCAAGGAUGCCUAUGUUGUGCUUUUCACCCAAAAUGCUGAUCCCCAAGCUCGCCCACAUCUAUGAAUUCAAUGUGCCUACGCGAAUCAAGAUCUUUGGAUGGCUCCUGCACAUGGACUGCCUCAACACACGUCAAACCAUCAAAAAGAAAACUAUCAUUAAUGACGACACCUUCCUUCUCUAAACCAACACUAAAGAAUAUCAAAAUCAUUUAUUCUUCGAAUGUUACUUCCCUCAAAGUAUUUGGCAGAAGAUGCACAACUGUGUACCAGCCCAUUGGUCAUCUCUAGGGUUUAUCAAAGAUCCCUCAAUUAUCACCCAUGCUUAAACCAUUCUUCAUGCUCGCAGUUAUUUGGAAAAUAUGAUACUCAAGCAAUGCACAAAUGAGAACCUUGGCACAAAUGUUGUAAUAGCUAUCAAACUUCGACCUAUGGACAAAUCGGCUUCAAAACCACAAGAAGGUGACCUGAUUUCCUUCUCUCCUGUAUAAGACCCAAUCAGCAUAAUUUGCUCAACAACCUGUCAAAGCAUUUUCCAAUACCUUCCAAUCUUUGCAUCUUGGGCACACCAUUGCACGUUUCCUACUAUGUGUGACAUGCGUUACUAAAGAAACUGCAAGCUAAGUUUGGCAUUUGCACUACUGUAUUUCUAGCAAAGAAACCAUCUUAUGAUGCAAAUCACACACCCCUCGCCUCGUCACCCCUCCUCUUAUAAAGUGUAACUUGAAUGCCACUUACGAUAGUACAGAGGCAAUAAAUUCCAAACAAAUAUUAUUUGAGGAGAUGAAUGCAUUCCUAUUCCUAUCACCAGCUUCUCUAACAGCACAAAAUUUGCAGAAACAAUCACUCGCGCAGGAAUGGACAAUUGGAUAGCUCUUUGCAUUUGCAUGUUCACCUUAGUCAUUAUUUAUACUUGGGGUCAAACAAACUCCAAUGAACUUUUUGGAAAAAUGGGUUUUGCUCCUCCAAAACAACUUUAUAUGUUUAGAAUCAUCUCAAAUACGCAAACAGACAUAGUUAAAGGAUGAUCAUAGUUCAGUUCUCUUCAUUCAUUUUUGGAAAUGACUUGUUUUCACCCGGCUGGUAUUUGUCGAUUCAUUAGCCACGUCGGGCCCCAUUCGAUCUCGCACGAUUGUGCGACCUUCACCUAGGCACGUACCCUAUCAUGUGCACACGUUAGCCCGCCGCUCCAAGCCUCCAACCUUAUCUUUUCAUCCUCAACCAUUUCCUCUCGAUCCUUCCUUUCCCCCAUGUCUAUCUCUCUCCCCGUCUCAACCACUCCACACGACGUAGCAAUGGUGAUCCAUGAGAGGCACCGCUACUAGAGACAAUGCUAGAAGCCUCGACUACACCAUCGAUGUGAGCUAGCCACCCAACAACAUCUAUGUUGCAAGCCCUACAGCAACAACAUGAGGUAGUGGCCACCGAUGCUGUGAGGGCCGGUCUCGGUUGUUGCCUAGCUCGGUGACUGGGGGCACCGCAAGGCCCAGACUCGGCUGCUGCAAGCCGCCAUGCAUUGCUACUGCGAGAUGCCACGCACCGCUGCUGCAAGCCGUCGGGGCGUCAGUGAUGCGAGUCGUCUUCGGUGCUGCAAGCCGUCACCCAUCUCUACUGCAAGGCCAGUGUUGUAAACUCACCUCUAGAGUUCUCAAAGGGGACAACACCUGGUGAUGCGAGGACAAGAAACGAGGUGGGUGCACAACACCUGGGUGUUGCAGGACGCCAACCCAUGCGUUGCUGCGAGCUUAUCCAGGUUUGCUGCAAGUGAGCUGGAGUUUGUUGUGGGGCCACCAUCGAUGCUAGAAUGACGGCUGAGAGAACAGUGGUGAUUUGUUGUGAGACCAUGGUGUGGUUGUUGCGAGCUUUGCCAAGCAUUGUCGCGAUCGAGCAGGAAUUUGUUGUGUUGGGGAGCCGCUGGGGUGAUGCUCUGACUAGCAGCCAUGGAUUUUGCGACGACGGGCAGCUAGUGUUGUGAGUGUGGGCGGCUUGCACUACUAUAGUGUGCCAAGUGUAGCCUACCACUGCAACAACGUUGCUAUGGCAUGGCUAGAGGUGUUGCAUGUGUUGCCACGAUUAUGUUCGGAUGGUGGCAGCAAUGCUUCUGCGGUGGUCGUCAGUGCGGCAACGAGCGGAGCUGACAUGUGCCCGCAAUAGACGCUGCUCUAGCCGACGAGGAAAGCGUGUAGGAGGAAGAUGCGGUGGGAAAUACGCAAGGCGAGAGGGAUGAUAGACGGCGUUGAGCAAACGGCUUAGAGCAUCUCCAGCUGUUUGGCCCCCCCAGGGGCUUGAGAUAGCGCCGCUUGGGGGGCAACCAACGGUAAAUCCGGCCUGGAAGGGGGGGGCUCGGGUUCCCAGCCGACCCUCCCAGUCGCCGAUUUUGGCACAAUUUAGGCCCAAUUUCGGCCCAAAUUUGGCGUGCUUCGGCACAAAUUCAACAAAAAACUCAAAUACUCCAUCACAGAAAUCAAUACAAAUUCAGCCCAAAUUCGGCGUUCAUCACAGAAAUCAAUACAGAUCGAAUAGUUCAACGAAGUAAACUCAUAAUUAAAACUCAUAGUUCAUCACACGUCGAACUAGAUGUUUCCCUUGAGCCUCCAUAGGUGCUCCACCAGAUCGUGCUGCAGUUCUUGAUGCACCUGUGGGUCUCAGAUCUCUGACGCAUAUUGAGGAAGGCAGCCCAUGAUGCCGGCACCUAGUGAUCAACUUGGGCAAGAGGACCCUGCCUGCAAUAUGAUUCAGUGUCAAACAUUGGCUCUUCCUGCUCGCUCUUAAUGAUCAUGUUGUGCAAGAUGACAUAGCAAGUCAUCACUUCCCACAUUUGAUCUUUCGACCAGGUCAGAGCGGGGUACCGGACAACGGCAAAUCGAGACUGGAGCAAACCAAAUGUCUGCUCGACAUCCUUCCUGCAGGCCUCCUGACACUUGGCAAAGUAGUUCUUACCUCCUAGCACAGGGUUGGAGAUAGUCUUCACAAAUGUGGACCAUCUCGGAUAGGAUGCCAUCUGCUAGGUAGUAUCCCUUGUUGUAGUGGCGCCCAUUGACCUCGAAAUUCACCGGAGGAGCAUGACCUUUAACAAGUUUGGCAAAGACAUUCAAGCACUACGGUACGUUGAUGUCAUUGUGCGUUCCUAGCACACCAAAGAAGGAGUGCCAAAUCCAGAGGCCCUGUGUGGCCAUUACCUCAAGUACCACACUGCAAGCUCCUUUGGCUCCUUUGUACAUCCCCUGCCAAGCAAAUGGAUAGUUUUUCCAUGCCCAAUGCAUGCAGUCAGUGCUUCCAAGCAUCCCAGAAAAUCCUCUUGCUGCAUUCUGUGUUAGGAUCUGAGCCGUGUCUUCAGCAUUGGGUGAUCGCAAGUAUUGUGGUCCAAACACUGCCACCACUGCCCUGCGGAACUUGUACAAACACUCAAUGGUGGUGGACUUGGACAUGCAUUCAUAGUUUCCAGUAUAUCAUCGGGAGCUCUGUAUGCAAGCAUCCUCAUAGCUGUCGUGCACUUCUGAAGUGAGUGGAAUCCAACUAUGCGGGUGCAAUCAUCCUUGCAAAUAAAGUAGCUGUCAAACUCCCGGAUGGCAUUCACAAUCCUGAGGAAGAGCUUUCGGCUCAUCCGAUAACGGCGCCCAAAUACUUUCUCGCCAUGUAGUUGAGUGUCGGCGUAGAGCAAGCAAUAGCUCUCCAGUCGAUGCCUCUGCUUGCACUUACGGCGGCCCGGCGCCAAGCCACCUCGUGCGGCUUUGCAUUGCUCGCGAACAGGCCGGCUAGAGCGGCGAGGAUUAUGAGGUGCGCUUCGCCCUGGGUAUCGGCCUCGACUUCCUCCUCCAGCAGCGCCGCGAACACCUCCUCGUCAUCGGAGUCAAUUGCCGAACAGGCAAAUUAAUCACCGAACACCUGGCGGGAGUGGUGGGUGCGCAGCCGCCGAUAUCCCCCGGCCUGCUUGGCCGGAGCGCUGGAAAGCUCGCCAGGAAUGGGAUGGAAGCUGCCGCGGUGAAACCCUCUCUUUCCGACGGUGAAUGGCCUUUCUAGCGGCGGAGCAGCGAUUGUGGGCAGGUGGGCGGCCUCGAGAUCGGCACAGCGACGAAAAGGGGAAGUGGCGUCCUACAACGCUCCGGAUUGAAUCUGGGCGGGGAAAGUCAUUUCUCGCCUGACAGUGGCGGCUCACGGGCCACUUUUCCUUCCGCCAGAGCCCCCACGUGCCUCCCAGUGCGCUGGGUUUGGCCUGGGAUCGCCGGGCCAAAAAAUGGGCGCAACCAACGGAAUUCANNNNNNNNNNNNNNNNNNNNNNNNNNNNNNNNNNNNNNNNNNNNNNNNNNNNNNNNNNNNNNNNNNNNNNNNNNNNNNNNNNNNNNNNNNNNNNNNNNNNNNNNNNNNNNNNNNNNNNNNNNNNNNNNNNNNNNNNNNNNNNNNNNNNNNNNNNNNNNNNNNNNNNNNNNNNNNNNNNNNNNNNNNNNNNNNNNNNNNNNNNNNNNNNNNNNNNNNNNNNNNNNNNNNNNNNNNNNNNNNNNNNNNNNNNNNNNNNNNNNNNNNNNNNNNNNNNNNNNNNNNNNNNNNNNNNNNNNNNNNNNNNNNNNNNNNNNNNNGGGGGGGUGAGUGCAUAUGCUCUUACACGAGCGGAACCAAGGGCAGAAGUGGGGGUGAUCUUUCCCUCAGUACAGCCGGUUGGAGCCUAGCCUCGUCCUCCAUUUUCUCCUUGCAAAAAAAAGUAUGUUCACGGUGAACAAAGUAGCUUAAGAUAAGCGGGUGGCCUAAUUGACGGCCACCCUUUGGGAAUUGUGACAUCCACCCUCAGCCACUGAGCGCACGCCCCACACAGAGCGGUUGUCAAAACGAGUCCUCCUCCUUAGCGCCUGUAGUGCCAAAUAAGAGCAAGUAUAAUAGGGUGAUGUAAUCAGGCUAUAAGGAUUUAAAUAUUAUAUUCUUAUUUAGUUGGAAGAGAGAGAAAGGAGCGGGCUGCAAACUAGUAGCCAGCUGCAGCACGUGCUCCAAGAAGCAUUGUGAGAGAAGUUCAUGUAGUGAUAAAGUAGUAAAAUCUUAUAGCACACUAUUAUAUGAGUUGGCUCUUAAGUUGGCUAUAAAUUACAUGGCUACUACAUAUAGCCAACAGUUAGCUCUACUAUUAACCAUGCCCUAAGGCAAACGGCGCUCACAUAGGCGCUUAUUCGGGUGGCCUGAUAAAUAGUUUCCUACCUCCGCCCGCUCGCUACUUGCCUACCUCCUUUUCGCUCCCUCCUUGCUCUUCCACUUGACGGUCGAUACGUAACUGGUCAAUUCUGGACCAUUCGAGAUUCGACCAUUGACUUAAAAAAAAGUUCAUGAAAAAAGGGAAAAUUUAAAAAACAUGACUCUUUUUGUAAAUUUGAAACAAAAAUCAUGAAAUUUGGAGGAAAAAGAAAGAUAAUGAACUUGAGAAAAUGUUCACGACUUUGAAAAAAAAAUUUGAAUUUUUUUAAGAAGUCCAAAAUUUGGACAAAAUUCAACUAUUAUGAAACAAAGUUCACGAAUUUUAAAAAGGUUCAUGUAUGUUUUUAAAAGUUCAUACCAAUUUGAAAAAAAUCAUGAGCUUUGGAAAAAGUUCACGAAUUUCUAAAAUCCAGUAGUUUUGAAAAAAAAAUCACAACUUUGAAAAUAGUCCAUGGAUUUUUAAGAAAAAGUACAUGGAUUUUGAGAAGUCAAUGAAUUUAAAAAGGUUCAAGCAUUUAAAGAAAACAAGAAGAAGAAAAAAGAAAGAAAAAGGAACCAGAAAAAAUAAAAUGAAAAAAACAGAAAAUAAAUAACCCGAAUAAGAACCGUCCGAAAAACCAAAAAAAAGAAAAAAAUCACCGGAAGCUUUCAGAAUUUUCCCAAAACCGGGAGCUUUGCGUGUGCUUCAGUUAGUGGGCUGGGCUGUUCAAAAGUACAAUUGUGCCGGUUAGUCGGCCGGGCCCGGCGGCAGGACCUUGUCCCGGUCGUGCCUUCUGUUUGGCUGGCCGCGAUGGGACUAAUGACCCCCUGGCGUCCGGCUGUCUAGCGUCUUCCCGGCGGCGGAGCCUUGUCCCAGGCUCCCAACCAUGCCUCCCCCUUGUGCUGGUUGUGGUGCGCUGUGGGGGUGGAUUCGGGCCUCCCCCGGCUCAUUCUGUCCCGUGGUGCCCGUCUGUGGUGGAGCGUCUAGCGGCGCCCAAUGUCAUCUCCCCCGGUGAUUGGCGCGGCUCUUCUUCCAGUGGUUGCGGUCUCGGCCUGCUCUGGCUUUCCGUGUCUCUAAUCCUGAUCCAGGUGCCUUUGUGAUUGUGUGGAGUGUGGCCGGGUGAAAGCCUAGCACGGCUUGCCGAUGCUGGCGGCAGUGACACCUGCGGUUGUCGUUCCCUUCUUGAAGGUGCCGCCAUGGGCUCCUCUCCGCGCCCCUACACGAGUAUCGGGUGAAACCCUAGAUCUGGUUCGCUAGAUCGAACGGCAGCAGUGACUCAAUGUUGUAUCCUUCAUGAAGGCGCUGUCUUGUUACUCGUGAUGUGUUCGGUGAUGGAUUUGAUGACUUCAGACGCUUUGCUGGUCCGGGCUGCUCCUGUUGGCGUGGGUUUCCGGGGCGCUAUGUACAGUCUCGACGGCGCUCUCUCCAUGGCUUCUCCUUCGGCCAGGUCCUGCACCCCACUUGCCGUUCCUCUAGGCGCAUAGGUGGGAGGUACGUUGAUCCGCUUCAUCCUGGAGUCUGGGUUGUGCGAGGUUGGUGCCCGGCGUUGGUCGCGACGUGGCCUAAAUACCUUUGUUUCUCUUGUCCUUGCCUUGCUGGCUGGAGUUUAAGUUAGGGAAACGUUUCCACCCGGUGCGCCGGCCGAAACGUUGGGCCGGAUGCACGCGGGCAUUACACAUGGUGGGGCCAGGCGGUGGUUUUUCCUCUCCCGAUCCCCUUAUCUCUUCAAGCUUUCACGCCACAGCACACACAGUGUUCGCUCUCCUCCACUCAUUCCCCUUCCUUCCUCCACUUUCUUUUUCCCUUCCACCUUUCCACGCCGGAGCACAAGUCAAGGACAUUCGCCGCUUUUUUUCGCUGCUGGCCAAGGCCGUCCUGAGCUGCGACCGGCAAAAUAGAGGAGUGGCGGCGCUGCAGAUUUGGAGCAGGAAGAGCGGUGCUGUGGAGACAACUGAGAUGCGAUGCGGGGACGUGGGGAGGAGUUGCAAGGUUCUGCAACCGGUGGACCUGGAAGCUCAACUGGCAGGCGCGCGACCACGCCGGCGACUCCUCGAUGUUGUAACCGGCGGAGUUGAAAGCUUCUACUAGCGUGCUAAAAAGCUACGACCGGCAACGGCGAAAGCUGCAAUCGGGCGGCCAUGCCGACCACGCCGGCGACCACCGAUGUUGCAACUGGCGGAGCUAAAAGCUUCUACCAGCGAGCUAAAAAGCUAUGGCUGGCGACAGAAAAGCUGCAUCACCAGAAGCUGCAACCGGCAGUGCACCAUGGCCGGGGAUGGCAUCCACAGGAUGCUACGCGCAGCGACGCGCGGACGCUGCAACGACCGGAAUGAGAUACUGGAACCGUCUAUUCAAAAAGCUUCCGCCGGCGAAAAGGAAAGCUACUACAGAAACAACUGCUACAACCCAGCGACGACGACGGCGACGACAGAGUGCUGCAACAGGCUAGCAAAAAGCUGGAAGUGGCGAUUGUGAUUGCUACAACCAGAGGUGUGACAUGCUGGAACCGAGUUUGCCACUGCUGAAAGAACUCUGGCACUCCAGGCCACCAUUCGUUUUUGCUACAGCCAUAGAUGUGCCGAGCUACAAUCACCGUGCGUUUCGCUGGAACCAAGGAUCAUCAGCGUUGGAACGAAAGAAGUCCAAAUAACCCCCUGGGGUUUCACAAACCGGCCACUUCACCCCCUCAUGUUUAAAACCCGGUAUCUAACCCCCUAGGCUUUCCUAAACCAUCUGAAUCGCCCCCUAAUCCUUAUUAGAGUGGUUUUACAAAUGAUUUUGGUGAUGUGGCAAUGUGCACCUCGUUCCUGACAUGCAUCCGGCCUCAUGCAUUCUCCUUCGAGCACAAGUCAACGUUGUGCCACUCGGGAAGCAUCGUGUUGAUGCAUGUCAUCAGCACGUAGCACGCUGAGUCCCAUUCUUCUCACUCGGUGAGCUUCUCAGCCGUGAGCGUCCCCUUCUCCAGCUUACUAUGCAGCUUGUACGAGGCCAGCAAUUUCUUGCACACCAGGCCUCUCCGGUCCAGCGCAUCACACGGGGUUCGUGGGAUCCUUCUGGUUGUCUGCAAUGUCAUGCUCCUGCUGCGCGGACACGGCGGCCGCGCUGGGGUGCACGCACAACCCGCCAACCGAUGCAAGUUCAGGCGACCCCUCGCCGUGCGCACCCAGUACGGCAGUGUCUCGUACUCAAGCUCUCCAAGGCGAACAGUGGUGGGAUGGUCGCGUCGUCGUCGACGGUGACGAGCAUGACAUUGGCGUCGGAGUGGCGAGGAGCUGGAGCGUCGCUAGCGAGGCGCACAUAAUUUCUCUCCGGCUAGAACGCACUGCUCCCCCGGAUACAAUACACACAUACAGACCGGCUGGAUCGAUUCGGUCUUGCACAAGCAUGCACGUACACGCAAGUACGAGCUUCCAUGUUCGAGCCGGAUUGGAGUAACCUAAUCGUGAUUAGCUCUGAUAGUGGAUGCUGCCAGCUACCGGCGGCGGCACGAGCUUGAUGAGCUAUUGUCAGCGAAAGAAGAAGAGGACGUGCCCGGCGAGAGCGUUGCCAGGGUGACUACGACACACGGGGGGCACGAUGGAAAGUAGAGAUUGCAUAUACAAGACAAAACACAGCCGGCUGCUGGCUAGCUGGUUCUGCUUCUGAGUACCUCAACAUCAUGUCGUUGUUUGCAAGAGAUCUGCCUGCCGGGAUGGAGGUACCGUGCAGACGUGGUACCUGCAACCAUGCCAUGUCACGAAAACCAUCCUCAAAAACCACUCUAAGCAGGGGUAGGGGGUGAUUUACCUGGUUUAGAAAAGCUCAGGGGGGCAAUUACCCGGUUUUAGACCUCGGGGGGUAAACUGGCGAAACCCUAGGGGGUUAUAUGGACUUCUUUCCGUUGGAACUGCCCGUUUUGCUGCUACCACAGAUGAGAAAAGUUACAAACGGAGGCUCGAGAUGCUGGAAGCGACAAAUGCUACAAGCAAGCGAGUGGUCUGCAAGGGAGCUCGUCGCCGGCGUUGUGCUGCAGGGUCGACGGCCGCGGGGCGCGACUAGCUCGCUGGAUAGGUGCGCAGGAUACAACCAUGGCUGGCUGGCGUAUGCUCACGAGGGAAUCCACCAGGGUCCAAGCAAAGCGGUGAGGGAAGGUGCAAAGGAUAAGGAACGAACGGCUACAAAUCACCCAAUCGAACGGGCCUGGUGCGACCGGCCAAAAUUUCGGCCGGCGCGCCGGCGCCUAACAGUGGCCUUUAGGAGAGCUUUACGCUGUGUUGUAUCCCUUUUUGUGUUUCCCACACCUUGUGUGUGGUGCUUCUCUUUUUUUUCUUGUUUUUUUUUGAACACAUCUUUUUGUCUUGUUUACCUAUGUAAUUUCUUUGCUACCUAUUAAUGAAUGAUACGCAAGCUUUGUAUAUUGGCGGAAAAAAAAUAUAGCAAGGACCGGUCCCUAGAGGCCACCACGAGGCUGUUGCCGUCUGUCUUGCCAAUCUGGCCACCUCUAGCGGCGAUGAGGACGGGAGACGCCGCCGGUAGCAGGGAUGCAGGCCAGGAACCCAAGCGGUGUGCGCGCCGGCGGCGGCGCGGCCCGGAGGCGAGUGUGCGAUUUUGUCCGCUGGACACGGACACCCCUAGGUAACUGAUUAACUUUCUCUUCAGCGGCAUCUCUUUACCUCCCGAUCCUCCCAUCUCCAAUCGCCAUCAGAUUUUGCAGGCUAUGAGUGCAUUACCAAUGGAAAUUGAAUUGACUGUUUGCUAUCAAUGCCAAUCGCCAAAAAAUAUUAUGCCCUCACCUUUUUUUUUCCGAUAAAGAACGUUUUUAUUAACUCAAAAUGUUGCCCUCACCUUCUUUUAAGAAAGAAAAUAAUAUCACGAAGAUAUCAAUUACACCCGACCUCUAUACCAACAAGAUGUACAAAGGCAUAAAAGUAAACACAGCCAAAAAAGAAGAAAAAAAGAAAAAAAGACCAUGCCAUUGCCGCGGUGACAAAUCACUAGCAUCAGCAGCCCUCUAACCAUCACCAAAGACAACACUCAAAAUACAAAAGAGAUUCACCAAAGACAACACUCAAAAUACAGAAGAGAUUCUUCAAAAGCAACACCUCUAAAAGGAAAACAAUGCACAAGCUGACUGAACAAAGUUUGAGCUCACCCAAAAACAAUGAUUUCAACAAGUCCAUUGCCAGAUAUAACCAAUAAAAGUCUGACCUUGUGUUUUCACCCUGGGGAUUGAGACUCGACAAGCACCAUGGAGCUUUUUUUGAGUUCUCCAUGUGAGAAACUGCAUCAGAGAAACUCCACUCUGGAGCACUUACUAUCCCAAAUUGCAUCCGAGUAGUACGAAGUUUCCCGAAAACUUUAAUCACAUAAACCAUGUUACAGUGCAUAGGUUGUUGGCAUUUGGUUUUGUCCUUGCCAAGACCUGCACUAUUCUUCAGAGAAACUCCACAGUGCAGCACACAUCAGUGAAGCUCUUAUCAAAACCACACACACACACAUACCAGGUUCAUUCAUGACAAAAGGGGUGAUCAUCCAAUUUCCAAGGCAGAGAGGAGAAGUGAGACAGACAACGAAACAUUGCAUUGAACUCUGAUGAAAGAUGAACAAUAUGGGCAGGCGUUUAUUCCACGCAACAAAUGCGGCUGGCAUGAACCAGCGAGCACUGCCCAGGACCUCACAAAUGUGCCGAGACAACAAAUUAACACACCCCACGACCAGACCAAAUGGAAACUACGGUAGACAGACAAAUCAUAACGCAGCCGACACUUCACCCUCCCGCUGAAUGCGCCUCUUCAUGCCCCAUUGCACCGCGCUAGUUGUCGGAGCUCUC
rnacentral:lncRNA from 1 species